AGAAGAAAGAGUAAGGAUGAGACUAUCCAUUACAUCUAAAAAUUUACAAUAUACCUCAAAAUUUUACAACAUAAUUAGUCAAAUAAAUUUGCAACUGGAUGAAACAACUUCUCAAAGACAAACAUUGAAAUCAUGAAUCAUAACCAAUAAUGCCCAAAAAAUUCAAGUUAAUCACAAAAUCAUUUACAACAAUCAACAUAAAAUUUUGUUAUCAAAUCCGUACAUUUUAGGUUUAAAGUUUGACACUUUCAGUUACCCACCUUUCAAUAAUCAUAUUCGUAUAAUUUAAGUUUAGACCCCUCAUGAAAAUCAUUACAUAAUCAUUCUUUAAGUAGUAGAGGCCCUUAAACGUUGUCAUUAUACCUUCCAAGUCAUAAUGGACUUAUGUCAAUAUGGAUAGUGUUAGUAGGUCAUAUGCUCUCAUGGAUACAACAUGUGCGCUACUCACCUUCAUGGUCUAAAAGUAAAGUCAAAAGGACAUUUGAGAACAGCGUCUGAGACUUGUUAUUUAAUAUACUAGGCUAGUUGUGUACAUUAGUGCAGUGUAACCAUAUCACAACCCUCUAUUCCCCUUGUCCACCUGACCUUUCUCCAGACUCUAUACCCAAUGUAUCUAUGUAACUAUCCAUAUAAUCUUUAAAAUUCACAUAACAUUUACUUUCUAUUUUUUAUACUUUAUUUCAAAUCUCAAUAUCAUAUUUCAUCUUCCAAUCAUUCUUCCACGUUUAUUUUUCAUACAAACCUUGCAACUAAAAUUUAUUAACAAAACUUUUCGCAGCAUAAUGACUACAUUUCGAAUAUCCCAUAAUUUUAAAAUAGUCUAAAUUUUAAGAUAACAAAUACAAUUUAUCCUAAUAAAUAUUUAAUAUCAAAUUAUCAAGGUACUGAAAAUUUGACAUAAUUGAAUUAUUAUUUUUUUUAUCAAAUUACACUACAAUCUUCUAAUUCAAAAUACAUAUUCUAGUAUAUUGUGUAUAGAUUUAAACCUUUCACGCAUUGUUUGACUUAAAACAAUAAACAAGGUUGUUUUCCAGAAAAAACAGUAUCAAUACAAAAUAUUAAAAUCAGAACGACAACUAGAAAAACAUAAUUCCCACAUAAAAAUUUGAAGUAAACCAACAAACUUAUUUUAUUUAUAAUUUUUUCAACAAACCUUCAAAUAAGGUGGUUUUCAAACCUAUCCCUAUGUUUGUAUACAUAAGAAAUCCAUUUCUGAACUGAAAAUUAGGCAAAUUGUAUACUUGGAGAAAAAUUUGUCAAAAUAGCUAGUGAUUCGGAUUUACCCACUUACCUUAAUGAAGUAUCAAAGUGAUAGUACUGUAAGAUUGAAAUGGAAGGAUCAAAGUGAUAUAUGCCCUUAUUUAAGUUACCCCUAAAAAAUUGUUAAAAGAGAGAAAAUAAUAGUUUAUAGAGUAGGACUUAAGAAGAAUAUGAAGGAAUAAAUCAUAACUCUAACUUUACUUGAAUAAAAUUAUAUGACUAAGAAUUUAAAUAAAUAAGAAAGGAAGAGAAGAUAAGAGGAAAAUAAAGUUUCACUUGGGUAUUUCUUUUUCUUACUGUAGGAAUUGUGAGGAAGAUAUGGGAGAUGUGGUUGUAUUUAUAGGAAAAACAUUGCACAAAAGGACAAAGAUAAUUUGUAAAAAAGAAUAUGCCUUUAAUCAUUGCAAUUACAAUAGGUAGGUUGAAUUUGAAAGAGAAAAGGAAAAAUCUUCUCAAGUUUAUCCUUUACAUUAAACCUGUCAUGUCAUAAAGGUAAAAAUUUGUGAGAGAAAUGGGAUUCGUCCACUUAUUUUUGUUGUUUCCAAUUAGGACCAAACAAUGAGCCUAAGCUUAUGAGUUUGUAAUACACAAUUUUAUUAUUUUAACACUACAAAAAUUAUGUAAGCAGUGACGAUUAUUAAAUAUUCUCAUAAUUAUCUUUAUAAUAUUACAUCUUUAUAACUGCUACAAUUUUUAUUCAAAAAGUGACAUUUACAUUUGUCAUUUUAUAAAUAGACUAUAUUCCCCUCCCUUACGUUUUCAUUCUCUCCACAUCAGUUCUCUUUUUGUGAAUGAAAAUUUUAUUUCCCAAAAAAACUUAUCAGUUCUCGUGUCAUCUUCUCCGCGAUGGCACCGUCUUCUUUGUCUUCUUCGUGACACCAUCUUUUUUGUCUUCUCUACAUCAUCGUUUUCUCUAUCUACUGCAAUACCAUCUUCUUCUCUGUUGUCUAAAGAUCUUGUUGUCCUUCUCGAUGUCAACUGGUGUGAUUCUCAUAACACUCAACGGUUCAUUCUUUUUUUGUAAUUCCUAAAUACAUGUUUUGUUCUACUAUGGGUUCACUAUUUUGGAGUUCAAGGUUUUAUUGUUUUAGAGUUUUUAUUUUGAGGUUUUUCUGCUUUGGGGUUUUGAUAUUUUGUUGUUUAACUUUGUUGUUUUUCUAUUUUGUUGUUUCUUUGUUUAGUUGUUUCACUAUUUUGCUUUUGUUGUUUUACUAUUUUGUUGUUUUUGUAUUUUGUUAUUUUAUUGUUUCGUUGUUUUGCUAUUUCGAUGUUUUUCUAUUUCCCUGUUUUAUUGUUUUGCUAUUUUGUUGUCAUGGCAUGGACGCGUGAUAAGUUCAAAAUUUCAUUAAUAUUUCAUAUUAAAAUAUAGACACUUAUGAGUAUUAAUUGCUAAAAUAAGUAUAAGACAACCCAAAAUUUAUGAAUUUAUACCUUUCUACAUAUUUUAUGAUUUUAAUUUUAAUAGGAACGAUUUAUUCCCAAAUUUGGUGUUAAUUUCAGUAUUCUAGGGGAGAAUGAAGAUGAUUCGACAAAAGGAGAAUAUACAAAGUUAAAAAGGGAAAGUUGGAAUGCAUCAACACUCAACAAGUUGCCAAAAUGCGCGAAAGAACCAUCUCACCACCAGGGGAGCUCACUCAAGCAAGCUAUAUCUCUCUUGAGCAAGAUAACACCACUGAAGUUGGGUUGGACGACGUUUUGCUUUCUCAAGCGAGCCCAUUAUCGCUUGAGCAAGAAUCCACUUAAGCCCAGACAAAUUAGGUUAAAUAGGGGGCUUGAGGCACAACCCUAAUGUGCAAGAUUGAGAGGAAAACACCAUUGAGUGACCUGUAACCCAAUUGGGCGAAUAUGAGGUGUGAGAAACAUUAGAGGAGGCAGUCGCCAAGGAGAAACAUCUUGAAUCUUCUUUUUAUGUUAUCCUUGAGUGUAGUAGUCAUCAUGAGUGGCUAAUUCUACCUUUUGGGAUUGAGAGUAAUCUAUUCAAAUUUUGAUCUAUUGAGGUGAUAUCUGCAUAUAAUAUUUUGUUCUUGAUUGAUUAUUGGUAUUAUUGUUUUUCUUCUAAUUCUUGAUCUAGAAUCUUAAAUUUGACUGGAAAGUAUUUUUAUGGUUCUGAACUAAGCAAUAAUGCUUAACAUAUUUGAAGGUUAUGAAUAGACUUGAAAUGUUUAUUGUUAUUAACGUCUAAUCUUAAUUCUAAGUUAUUUUUAUAAAUAUGCGAGAAAUCUAUAUUUAGGAAGCAUCUUAAUAAUUUUAUGUGAGGAAUCGAUAUAAAUAAUUUUUAUACGGUCAUUAAUAUCAAUCAAAAGGCACAAUAUUACUUUGCUAAUCAAAAUACAAAAGAGUGAGAAAGAUGAAACUCAAUCCCUAUUUUUCCAAUUAAAGCAACAAAUUCUUUGACUUGUUUUCUAACUAAUCAUUGUCAUCACAAUAACUUUCAGCACAAUUUUAUUAUUUUGUUUUAUAUUUAGCAAAUAUUUUACUUUGAUUAGUAAUAACUUUAGUUGAGAUAUUUCUAUUCAUUAAAUUCAUAUUGAAAAUCAAUUAUGAAAUAAAUUCAUUGUAAUUUUAAUAGUUCUAAACUCGGAUGAAUAAUUUUCAUUGAAGUUUUAAAGUGUUUAUAGAGAUAAACUUAAUUAGCUGACUAAGAAUCUAAAUGCAAUUAUUAAAAAUUUGCUAGGGACUAAAAUACAAUUAUUAAAAUAGUCAAGAAUUAAGUUACAAAUAGUAAAAAAUAAUUAAAGACCAAUUUAUAAUUAUGAAUAAAUAUUUAGGGGUCAAUUUGUAAUUAUUUAAAAAUAGAGGGGUUAAUUUGUAACGUUAAGAAGUUUUAGAGGUUUAUAGAAAAUUAUGAAAAAAAAAUAGAGUUAAAAAAAACAAUUUUGCCCACCAAAAAUGUAAACUAAAUUUUUAAGUCAAGCAAAAGUCAAACUUAAAUAAUAAUUAACUACUUUUUUUAUAUCAUGCAUAUAAAAAAGAAGGUUGUCUCAUAUGGACUUUUAUCUUUUUGGUAAUGAGAAUGAUUCAUGUUUAUUUAACCUGAUCACGCCUUAAGCAAAGUGUUUAAUCAUUAAUUGGAUAAUAUUAUUAAACUGAUCUCGAGAUUUGCUAACAUAUAUUGUCUCCGGUAAUGAAAUAGUGAUGAUCUUAGUUUCUGAAUUGCGUUAAGACUAAAUAUUCUCUUUCAAAGAAAAUAAAAAUAAGUGGUUUAGUCGACUAUUGUUUACUUUAGAUGUUCUUGAUUUGUCAUUGUUCAUUUUAGGGAGAUGGGACCUAGAGAACUAUUGAGAAGCUUCGUCUUCCUUCUUCUUGUCGAUCGGUCGUGCUACUCUUCAAGUUCCUGCUUGCUCGUUCCUCACCUUUCCUUCCUAGCUUCGGCUCUCGGCCAUCUCGUGAGCACCAAAUAAGGGGUACCUGCAGAAGGCACUCCAACGCUCAAGUCAGUAAAGGUAUUUGACACUCGGUUGUCAGAGCAUUGUACCUGAUGAUCCCUCUGAUUCUUAGAAUGUGUGCUAUUUAUAUUACCUUAGUGGGUUUUCCUUAUUGGGCCAAAUUAGGGAGUUUGACUGUGUUUAGGGCUACAUUACCUUGUCCUUAAUUGUGGAUUAGCUUCACUGAAUCUGUUUGAGCGUACCUAGAUUUGAGAUGUCGGUCGGCCCAUUAAAGCGGACCAUGAUAUCGGUCGGCCCAAUGAUGGGGACCGAGACAAGUAAUCAGUCUUCCGGCCCUCACCGGUACACUUGUCCCCCAAGCUCGAGUAUGAUUAAUCCGAAGAGUCUUUGAGAGUAAUGUGACGGUCGGGCUCCCGAGAUUUGACGCGGGGUGUGGCCUCUACCGGUCGGGUAAUCGAUAAGUUUUGAUGCAUUUACUUGGACCAAGUCUUUAAGGUGUCAGUAGGGUAUACCGGUUAAGGCUUCAUCCAGACCGAACUGAGUGUGAGGUAUUGGCAAGGUAUGCCUGUUAGGGCUUCAUCCAUACCAAACCAAGUUGGGCAAUGUCAGAAGGGUAUGUCGAUUAAGGCUUCAUCCAGAACGAACCGAGUGUGAGGUAUUGGCAGGGUAUGCCUAUUAGAACUUCAUCCAAACCAAACCAAGUUGGGCGGUGUCGGCAGGGUAUGCCGAUUAAGGCUUUAUCCAGACCGAACCGAGUCUUGGUGGUAUCAGCAGGGUAUGCCUAUUAAGGCUUCAUCCAGACCGAACCAAGUUGUUUUGGUAUGGACAGGGUAUGUCUAUUAAGGCUUCAUCCAGCCGAACCAAGUUGUUGUGGUAUCGACAGGGUAUGCCUGUUAGGGCUUCAUCCAGACCAAACCAAGUUGGGCGGUGUCGGCAGAGUAUGCCGAUUAAGGAUUUAUCCAGACCGAAUCGAGUCUUGGUGGUAUCGGCAGGGUAUGCCUGGUAAGGCUUCGUCCAAACCAAACCAACUUGUGCAGUGUCGGCAGGGUAUGCCGAUUAAGGCUUCAUCUAGACCGAACUGAGUAUGAGGUAUUGGCAGGGUAUGCCUGUUAGGGCUUCAUCCAGGCCAAACCAAGUUGGGCAGUGUUGGUAGGUUAUGUCGAUUAAGACUUCAUCCAAAACGAACCGAGUCUUCAAGCUGUCGGUUGGCAAGAUUCAUCAUCCAUCUCUGGUGUGAAUGUCAUUCGACCAUUGAUGGACCAUGGUGUCGGUCGGCCCAUUGAUGGGGACCGUGACAUGUACAACUAUCGAUCGAAAAGAUUCAUCAUCCAUUGAUGGGGCCAUAAUGUCGGUCGACCCGUUGAUAGGUACCGUGAUAUGUAAUUAGUCAUACGGUUUGCCAUGCUUCGGAUUGAUACCAUCUACUUUCUCCUUCACAAUACUUCUCUCGGCCCCACGGUGGGCGACAAUUGUUCCUUCUAGGGAGAUGAGAUCUAGAGAACUAUUUAGAAGCUUCGUCUUCCUCCUUCCUGUCGAUCCGUUGUGCUACUCUCCAAGUUCAUGCUUACUCAUUCCUCACCUUUCCUUCCUAGCUUCGGAUCUCGACCGUCUCGUGAGCACUGAAUAGGGGGUACCUGCAGAAGGCACUCUGACGCUCAAGUCAGUAAAGGUAUUUGACACUUGGUUGUCAGAGCACUAUACCUGAUGAUCCUUCUGGUUCUUAGAAUGUGUGUUAUUUAUAUUACCUUAGUAGGCUUUUCUUAUUGGGCCAGAUUAGGGACUUUGACCGUGUUUAGGGCUAUAUUACCUAGUCCUUAAUCGUUGAUUAGCUUCACCAACUCUGCUUGAGCGUACCUGAAUUUUAGAUGUCAGUCAGCCUAUUGAAACGGAUCAUGAUAUCGGUCGGUCCAGUAAUGGGGACCGAAAUAAGUAAUUAGUCGUCUGACCCUCAGUACAGUAAUCAACCCUCCAACCUAAGUGUUCUCGAUUUUACAUACAUGUAGUAGAAAUAUGAUUAUGUGGUUUAAGAAGAUAUUACAAAUCACACCUUACUAAAGCAGGCUAAGUAAUUUACUACACAAUUAUAUCUUUGAUGGGUUAUACGGUCCUUUGGUUUUACAAGUUGGAAUUAAAUUUUAGUAUAAGCUUCAACGUUUUUUAGAUUGAUAUUUAAUUUAAAUCAACUUUUGUGAGUCCUAAUAUCUAUAGUUUAGUCGAUCUGAAUUUGAAUUCUAUUCAGUCAUGUUUAUUUUUUCUUUGCAUGAGUUCUCUUCCAUAUAAAUUAUUUUCUUAAUAUAUAUAUAUAUAUAUAUAUAUAUAUAUAUUUGAGAGAAUAACUCAUUAUAUAAAAUCAUUAAAUAAAAACUAAUUUUAUAAAUAAAAAAUAAUUAAUUAUUAUAUUGAUUAAAUUAAAUAUAUUAUUUUAGAAAUUAAACAAAAUAUAUUAAUAUUUAAACUAAUUUCUAUAUUUAUAAAUUAAUUUUUAAUAUUAAUAUUUAAUUAGUUAAGAAGGUUGUAACUAUAAAAAAUUAGUAUCUAAUUAGUUACCAAUUAAUUUAGAUUCUAUAGAUUCUAAAAUUGAUAGUUACAACCUUCUUAACUAAUUAAAUACUAAUUUUAGAAACUAGUUUAUAAAUUUAGAAACUACUUUAUAUAUCAAUAAUUAUUUUAAAUUUUAAAUUAGUAUUUAAUUUAAUCAUUAAUUUUUUUUAUAUAUUAAAAUUAAUUUUUAUUUAAUAAUUUUCUUGUACAGAGUUAGAAGACUUAUUUUAAUAAUGAAUAUCUUAAUAUAUUUUUUUAAAAUUAUUGUUUUGUUUUUAGUUUAAAUGAAUAUAUCCUUUUAAUUUUUAUUUAUUAAUUUUAUACCAUCUUAUAACUCUUUGUCUCACUUUAAUAUAUAUAUAUAUAUAUAUAAUAUGUAUAUAUAAUUUAUUCUUUUAUAUUUUCGUGGAAUAAUUUUAAUCUAACAUGCUUUAAUUUUCCAUUUGUACUAUUUCUUAUUGAACUAUUUAAUUAUUUAUCUCUUUUAAUUUAUUCUUUAUAUUUUAUCCCUAAAUUAAAAUUUAAUCCUUAACAAAAUUAUCAAUACUUAAAAUAAUCUUAUUUAACAAUUUAAAGUUUCUGUUAUUAGUUUAAAAUAUAAAAACUAUUUUUUUAUAAGUCUACAAUUUAUACAUUAAAAAUAGUUAUUAAAAAAUUUAAUUAUAUAGAAAAAAAAAAUUUAUAAGAUAUAUAAAAAUAGUAGACACAAUUUUAUUUUAUUUUUCAUUCAUUAUUCCGUUGAACAAAACCGGACGAUGUGGGAUAUGGUCGUAUUAUGACCGUUAGAUAGUGGGAUCGGAAUUGUGAAUGUUUUGAAUUUCGUUGUUAUUUUAUUGUUGUAAGCACAACAAUAGAAUCCUUAAGCAACUAGUUCCCACAAAGGAAAGACACUCUUUUUCACACUUUCCCUCUUUCUCUCUGCAGCAUCACCAUGAACAGACAAAUCACAAGCCCAGUGAUCAAAGAAGAAGAAGACGCACCUGGUUCUAUUGGUUUUCUUUAAAGAUGACCUUUCCUUCUUUCUUCCUCCUAGGAGAACACUUGGAGAUUAUGUCAUGGAGCAAGGGUCAAAACAUUAUUCUAGUAUUACAAUACCUGCUACAACCAAGGCCUUAGAGAUGAAACCUACUUUCCUUAGUCUUAUCAGUAUCCAUCAAUUUACAACAAUGGAUCAUGAGGAUCCAUAUAUACAUUUGCUUACAUUUUAUGAAUUAGUGGGAACAAUGAGCUUUCAAUCAGGUGAUCUUGAAAAUGUUUAUAUGCGUUUAUUUUCUUUUUCAUUGGUAGAAAAGGCAAAAGAAUGGUUCAAAUCACAUCCAAAUCAGAGCCUCACUAGCUGGAAGGAUUUAGAGGAAAAAAUUCUACAAAGACUUUUUCCAUUAUCUCGCUACAUCAAAGCAGAGUCUGAGAUCUCUAUGUUUAGACAAGGAGUUAAUGAAGCGUUCUGUGAGACAUGAGAAAGAUUUCAAAUGAUGUUGAGAAAAUGCCCAAAUCAUAGGUUUUAAGAUAUUGCUCCAUUGAGAACCAUUCAUAUUGGUCUCAAAUAUGAUACCAAGAUGCUUUUAUAUGGUGCAUCUGGUGGUACAAUGAUGGCAAUUGAUGCAGAGAAAGCAACAAAGAUUAUUGAGGCAUUGGCAUCCACAGAGUAUCAAGCCCAAAAUUACUUACGGACUGCUGUUACCCACAGUUUCAUAUAAACAUUAUAUACGCCAACAUUAUAUACGAUUAUUUUUUUCGUGCGAAAUCCGUAGGUAAUGCUGAUUUACUUAUGGAUUUCUGUUGUUACAUACAGAUUUGGCCCAUAGGUAAAUCAGUUUUUUUGUAGUCAUUAUGAAGAGGAAUAUUUAUUUUAUAUUCUAGCUUUUUGCAGAUACCGAAUCACUUAACACAAACACAAUUGAAGAAAUUCAUCAUGAAUGGGCUAAACAUUUUAUAUACAUUAAGAAUCCAAACUUGUUAUAAUUAAGAAUUGUGUUAGACAUUGUCUUUUCAUUAGUUUGAUUAUAUGUUAUGUUUUGCUUUAUUUUUCUAAGGUUUAAUUUGAACAGGUUUUAUUAUUCUUAUGUUUUGAUAAAUACAAAAAUUUAUUUCUUGACAUUCCGGUAGUUUAUUUACAGAUUAAAAAAAAAAUAAUUGAUCUACGUUAAAGAUAACAUAUUAUAUUAUUUCAUGCAUUAACUCAUCUAAAAAGUGACAUAUUACAAUGGUUGUUGUUUAGAACCGGUGUAAUAUCCAUAUACUAAUUAUAAAACACAACCCCUAUAAUAUGUGCUCUUGUUUUGCAUUAUAAAUUUGUUAUUAUAUAUAUAUAUAUAUAUUAAUAUUUAACUUUGAUGUAAUGUUGGUAUAUUUUACAUUGAUUAAAACAGCGGUAUAAAUAUAUGAUCUAAUUUCUAUAUCGUUUGUAUUUAUAUUAGUAACGGAACCAGUGAAAUAAGUCUUCAAUGUAAAAUGUAUUUUUUACAUAGUGUUGAUUAAUAAAAUAAUGCAAUGUAACUUGUUCCAAAUAAAUGUAUUUUUACAAAAUAACAUGGUGUAAAUAAAGAUGGUUAAAUUAAGCGUGUAUUGUUUUAUGAAUCAGAACGCAACGAUAGAUAGGCAUAAUAAAUUGAAUUAAAUUCAACUAUGAAAUUUUUUAUUUAAUUAGAAAUGUGGUUUGCUAGAAUGAAAGUGAAAGGUAAAAUGAUAGGAUAAAUAAACGUGAAGUGCUUUUAGAUUUUUGAAUUAUUUUAAUUGUUUAAAAUUGAAUUAUCUUAUAAAUUACAUUUACUUGCCUUAUUUUACAUGUACCAACAUGAGGGAAAUAUGCAUCUGUGUAUGAAUUUAGGGUCCUAAUAAUUUUUUAUGAUAAUUAGAUAAAUAAUGAUUUAAUAAUAGUUGAUCAUUUAACAUGUAUUGUCUUAAAUGAUUCACAUAUGGUGUGUUAUAUGUUGAACCAAAUUUUAAGGUAUGAGAGAUGUUUGGUGAGAAGAUAAUUACUUGGACACAUCUUAUUUGGAUUCAUUACUUCUAUAAUAAAUAAUGUUUAAACCGUAUAGAAUGUAUUACUUUUUAUUAUGGUUAAAGAAAAAAUAGUCAUAAGAAAUAAUAUUUUUUUUUAUGAUAGAAUUAACAAUGACAGUUAUAGAAAGUUAUAGAAAGUGUAUAUUGCAUAAGCACAAUUCUCAAUAAAAUAUUUUUAAAAUAAAAUCUUAACAAUUUGGCACAUAAAUAAUUAUAGAUAUUAAUAAAAAUUAAUAUAUUUAAAUUCAUACAAAAUUAUUAAGGUUAACAUCAUCAUUUACAAUACUUAAAAAAUAAUAAUAAAAUCUUAAUGAUUUAAUACAUAAAUAAUUAUAAAUUUUUCUAAAAGUUAACAUGUUCAUGUUCAUACAAAUUUUUUAACGAAUUCUAACAUGAUUUUUUUUAUCAGCAAUCAGGAAUAUAUCUACACAAGAACCACUUCAUGAUGAUUCAACCCUUAUACAAAAAUGUAUAAGCAACCUAACCGCAUAACACCUUUCAAACAACUAAGAAACAAAGCAGCUCCUGACAAUAACCUGACAAAAACUACCUCCAACAUCCUACUAAAGAGAAUACAGACAAACCAAAGGGGCGAGACACCAAUUAGAAAAAGAAAAACUAGUUGUGGAAAACUUAAACGUGAGCCAAGCCCAAACCUUCAACUGAGCCAAAGAAAAGAUUUCAAAAAAAUCCAGAAUUCCCUCAUUAAAAACUAUUUUAUUUCUAUUACGCCAGAUUUCAUUAACCAUCACUAUCUAUAUAUUACCCAACCCGAGAUUUACUGCAAAAAGUGUGAGUAAGCAUGAAAAGGAACAACUGUCGUAAUGUCUAACAACGCAUAACAAAGAUUCCACGUCAACCAAGAUAUCCUACAAUAAAAAAACAAAUGUAAAUAUUCCUUAUCUUUUUUCCCGCAAAAACUGCGCAAACCGUUUCUGACCGCAACCCCGCGCCUGAGUAAAUUAACCUUGGCUGCAAUCUUAUUUCCCAGCAAUCUCCACGCAGUCAUCUGGACUGAGGGCAAAGCAUUAAUCCUCCAAAAGAAUUUAAAUAACCCAAAGCAGUCCCCUCCUUGACCAUCUCUUAGAAUCCUACAUGCCAAACUAACUGAGUACCCGUGACUUAAAUCUUCUAUCCAAAUCCACCUGUCAGCUUUCUCCAAGAUAGGGCACUAGUUGUGCAUUUCCUCAAGAAGUCUCUUUAGUUGGACUUGCUCCCAAUCAAAAAUAUUUUUUCUCCACCACAAAGACCACUCUCACCCAAUGUUUUUCCGAGAUCCACAACUAUCCAACGACGCUUCUUUCUCGGUGAUUAACGAAAAAAGCCUUGAGAAAUUAGACUUCAAAGAAUCAUUACCAGUACAUCGGUCUUUCCAAAACCUAAUAGACUUUCUGUUACUAAUUUCCCAUUAUAAACAAUAUUCAAAAUUGUUACUCCACUUCUCAAGCUCCCAAAUCUUUUCACCAGAGGGAGUCGUAAUAACUACCGUUGUCCUCUUUCAAAUUCCUUCAUGUCCCAUAUUUAGAUUCUAGAACCUUCUUUCACAAAUUCCCACCUUAACCGCAAAAUCCACUUACUAAUUCUAAAAGGAUAAUCCCGAAGUAGCUAGAAAGAGCGUGAAAGAGCUAGUAAUGAAGUCGUUGGUUUUGCCACCAAAAUUACCCUAACGAAGAAGCAAUAAUAAAAUGAAAAGCAACAAACAAAAUAUACAUACGAGUGACGAACUGUAAAAAUGAGCACAAAUAGUGAUGAGUGUGAAAAUGAUCAUAAAGAGUGAGGAAUAUAUAGCAAGUACGAAGAGUGAGGAGCAGUAAAAGCGAAAUUUUGUAAUGUGCCUAGUCACUAUAUUAGUUAUAUUUUGAAAUAACAUACUAACUAAACAAUUAUGAUUUUAAAAUUACUCACUAUGACGUUUUUAAUAACAACCAUCAUAAUAAAUUUGUAAUUUAUUACAAAAUUACCACUGCAUCAAUUAUUAUAACGAUUGAAUUAUAAUUAUUAUAAUAAGUCGUGAUAUUAAGAUGAAAGAAUAUAUGAUUGAUUAAUAAAAUAAUGCAAUGUAAAAUAAAGGUAUUUUUACAAAAUAACACGGUGUUAGAUGUUGGAUGUGUGUUUAUGAAAAGUUAAUAUAUAUAAGAUCUAAAAAUAAUAAUUUAUAAAAAAUAUUUAUGAAUAGAAAUAAGAGUGAGCGUGUUUGAAUUAUUAUCUAUAUGAACCUAUUAUAAGCACAGAAUGAUAUGUAGUGUUUAUAAACAUAGAGAAGGUUAAAUUAAGUGUGUAUUGUUUUAUGAAUGAGAAACAACUAGGGAUAGCAUAAUAAAUUGAAGUAAACUGAAGUAUAAAAAAAUUUAUUGAAUUAUUUUUAACUGUUUAAAAUUGAAUUAUGUUAUAAACUACAUUUAAGUGCCUAAAUUAUUUAAAAAUAUUUAUUUGAGGUAGUUAGUAAUUUUAAAGGACCCAACAUAGAAUAAGUGACCUAAUUGUGUAGAAAAAUGGGACCAGCACAAUUGUUUAAUUUCUGAAUUAUUCAUUAAGUAAUUAUAUUAUAUAUUAUUAAGGAAAAAGUACAUAGAUAGGACAACUUGUCCCUUGUGAAGGACACUUGAUGUAGUGAGGGAUAGGGCUUUUAUCCAAACAUAUCCUUAUUUCAAAUAGUUUACUAGCUGAACAAAUCAGUUGUGGCUCAACACCCACUGGUGAUGUUUUUAUGGCUGUGAAGAAUUGAUUUCUAUGGUACUUGCCACCACGUAAUAUAUUUUGAUUUUUAAGUAUUUCUUGAAGAUCGUUCCUUGCAUAGAAAUCUAAUGUGAGUUUGAAAAAAUCAAAUGGUUGCAUGUUUGAACACGUUCCAUGUUUAUUCCAUUCGUUAGUCCAGAAUCUCGAGUCUUUCCCAGUAUAAUUUGGCCAAUCUUCAGCAAGUUGAGUAGAUAUUAUGCUCUUAGUCUAAUAAAAUAAACAAAAAAAUGUCAUCUUUCGAAUAUCGAGUCGAGGUAGGAGGGCUAUGGUGUGAGGAACCUAGUACGGUGCGCCUAGAAGCAAAGAAGUUGUUUGAGACAAGAUUCAAGUCUACGAAAGACUUUGGAGUAAGGCUCGAUGCGGUUGAGCUUAAGUCCCUCUCGGCAGAGGUUAGUCUGAGCUUGAUAACUGUGUUCACUGAGAAGGAAAUUAGAGACGCUGUGUGGCAGUGUGAAGGCACGAAGAGUCUAGGGCCUGAUGGAUUCAACUUUAACUUCCUCAAGAAAAACUGGGAAGUUAUAAAAGAGGAAGUUGUGGCAGUGAUGGUACUGUUCCACGAAACUGGAAGUAUUCCGAAGGGGUGUAAUGCAUCCUUCGUUGCUCUGGUACCCAAAGUUAGGGAUCCUGUUAAGCUUGAGCAAUAUAGACCAAUCUCCCUAGCAGGUGCAAUGUACAAGAUCAUAGCAAAGGUGCUGGCGGAAAGGAUCAAGAAUGUCCUCCCCUAUGUCAUUGAUGAAAGCUAAUCGACAUUCCUAAAGGGAAGAGAAAUCUUAGACAGCGCUCUUAUGGCCAACGAGGUGAUAGAAGACCUGAGAAGAGGAGGUAGGAGUGGGUUAUGCUUAAAAGUGGAUUUCGAAAAAGCUUAUGACUCAGUAAGAUGGGAGUUCCUUUAUGAUAUGUUGCAAAGGAUGGGUUUUCACUCCAAGUGGAUUUUGUGGAUUCGAGGGUGCAUGGAGAGUGCUUUUGUAUCAGUUUUGGUAAACGGAAGUCCAACAGAAGAGUUUACACCAUCAAGAGGGCUGCGACAGGGUGACCCGUUAGCACCUUUUCUCUUUUUGGUGGUAGCGGAAGGCCUUGCCGGGCUAGUAAGGGAAGCUGUUAAGGCCAACUUAUUAACUGGUCUUAAGGUAGGAAGAAAGGAGAUUGUCAUGAGCCUCCUCCAAUUUGCAGAUGACACCUUGUUCUUCUGUGAGGAUUCCUUCACCAAUGUGGUGACCCUGAAGGCGAUUCUCAGGGGUUUUGAGCUAGCUUCAGGUCUAAAAAUCAACUUUCACAAAUCAAAGCUCGCAGGUCUUAAUGUCCUUGAUAAAGACAUUGACUGCUACACUAAGACCUUAAACUGCUCUACGAUGGGAACACCGUUUAUGUACCUGGGUAUUGAAGUGGGGGGUAAUCCAAGGAAGGAAAAAUUCUGGGAGCCUGUUCUAAACAAGCUGAAGUCUAGACUUAGCGUGUGGGAAGGGAGAUUUCUCUCUAUGGCAGGCAGAAUUUGUUUGGUGAAAUCUGUCAUCACUGUUGUGCCGCUCUACUACCUCUCCCUAUUCAAAGCUCCGGAGUCGGUAUGCAAAAGAAUCAUUAGCAUUCAAAGGAGGUUUUUGUGGGGAUGGGGUAAGGACAACAAACCGAUAUCCUGGAUAAGCUGGAAAAACCUAUGUAAACCGCUAGAGGAAGGAGGUUUAGGCAUUAGAGACAUCCGUAAGUUCAAUGUAGCACUUCUGGCUAAGUGGAAGUGGCGGAGCAUCUCGAACGAGAAAGGGAGAUGGAAAGAAUGCUUGGAAUCAAAGUAUGGCACGGAGCAAGACGGAGAUCACACCCCACUGGAAAACCAAUCGUGGUGGUGGAGAGAUUUAGUCAAGGUCUGCCGGAAGGGAGGAGGUGAUGGGUGGUUUAAAAAAGAAGUUGGAUGGAAACUAGGGAAGGGAGAUAAAACAAGAUUUUGGGAGGAUGUCUGGACUGGAAACGUUAGUCUCAAAACCUUGUAUCCUAGAUUGUUCUCCUUGUCUCUAAAUAAGGGCCAGAAGGUGGGAGAGGUUGGACCUUGGAAGGAUUCAAAGUGGCAGUGUAAGUUAAGUUGGAGACGUGAUAGAUUUGAGUGGGAGAUCCCUUUUGAAACCGAGAUUGGUAUGCUCAUUUCAAGGGUCAAGGUAAUAAAGGAUGAACAGGAUAAGCAAGUAUGGAGAGGUGAUGAAUCAGGGAGUUUUACGGUGAAGUCUGCAUAUGAAUGUCUAGAAGAGCCGGAAAGAGGAACACCAAUUUCGUCUUUUGGUUGUCUUUGGAAGAUCAAGGCAUUCCCUAAUGUUAUGACCACUGUGUGGAGAGUUCUUCUGAAUAGAGUACCAACAAGGGAGUGCUUGAGUAAGAGAGGGGCGAUGGUCAACACUAUAGAAUGUGCCUUUUGCCAUUCUAAAGAGGAAUCGUGUCAGCACCUCUUUUUAGAAUGCAAGCAUGCAGUACGGGUAUGGGACUUAUGUUUUAGAUGGGUUGGUAUCUGGUCUGUCCAACACAAUAAUAUCAUGAUCAAUUUUGAGAGUUUUUAUCUCAUCCAGCACACUCAUAAACAAAACCUAAUCUGGAAAGGGGUGUGGGCAGCUAUAGUACGUUGUUUGUGGGAGCAUAGAAACUUAAUCAUAUUUAAUCAAAGAGUUGUAGAUGCAGAAGAAGUUUUCCACAAUGCCCAGCUUAAAUCGUGGUUAUGGUUGAAACACAAGGAGAGUAAUUUUGAUUAUUCCUAUGCAGAUUGGAUCCUGAACCCAUUGUCAUGCAUUAGUAGUAUCAAAUAAUAGGUGAGGCAUAUAGCAGGUGUGUGGGUGUGAAGGCCAAGGUAUAAGGACGGGCAGAGGUUCUGAGAGGCCACAAGUGCUGUUAAGGGAGAGGUCAAGUUUGCAACAGAUCUCUGUGUUUCCUGCUAUGGGUGUGAAUAUAGCUGUUAUUGGGAAGAAAUAACAAGGAAAUGGAGGAAGAGCUAAACGAAGGAAACAAGCUGAGCCAACUUAAGGGUUGUGUUAGCUGAUGAAUUUAAUGUACAUCCUUUCUGACCUUGUCACUGUUGGACAACUCAAGCCAAUUAAGAGUAACUACAUGGAUAAUUAUGCUGAUAGUUUGCUGCUUAAAAAGAGCAGUUCUGCUAUGCAGGACGCAAUCCUCCUAGCAGUAUGUUUUUUGAGGCAGCAGGAAGCUUGUUCGCACUGGGGUUCUGAUCCUGAUUUAGACAAUUGUCACGUUUAUGAUGUGGGUGUUCUGUUGUUGGAAUCUGAUCUGAAAGUUACUUUGGUUCGGUUAUGUUGUUGUGCUGAAGGCUGAUGUGGGGUGGUUCUAAGGCUGGGAUGAGGGUGAUAGAUGAUGACCACAAUUAGGAAAUUUGAUGAUUGACAUGAUAAAAGCAGGGAGGCUUCUCUGGCUUGUGAGCUGUAAUGCGAUUCUUAUAUUUGUACCAGCUGUUGCUGGGAGAAAUAGCUUGGAAUGUGCUGAGUACGCUUUUGUUUCUCCUAAGGGGGAUAGUUGAAGAUGAUAAAGAGUGGCCGCUGGAACAUCUGUUUGCACCGGAAUUCUGGUGUACUAUUCUCUGCCGUAAGAUGAAUAUUAGGCCUUAUGUGUAGAUGAUGCGUCAUGUAUUUGUUAUGAAGUCUAUAGUGGCUAUGGUGUGGUGGUAUGGUGUUGAUGAGGGAAGAUUUUUCUUUGGUGCAUCCAGAAAUGAUUUUGAAAGGAGGAAGGAGCCAUUAUUUGUAGUAGACAGCUACUAAUGAGUGCAGCCUAUGCUGAGAUGGGAGGCUCUGUCAAGCCCUGCAGGGGGUUUUGGCCUAAGUAAGCUUGCUAGGAUGCCUUAUGUCAAGUUGUUUGGGAUUAUAAAGAUGUGUAAGCAAAUUGCUGCACUCACGGUUUAAGGAAGGGUGUGAGCCAGACCUGGAAGGGUACUGAAGCCAAAGGAAUGUAACUGAGAAGAAGGAGGCUUGGUAAGGUAUCUCGUCGUGAUAAUGAACCUGAAUACAAGCUGUCAUAACCUAUGCCGUUGGAGAGCUCUGUUGACAACGAACAAAUUAAAUCUGAACUAAAGGUCACAAUUCUCUCAGCAGUGUGUUCGUGGUGGUAGGAUGACUGUAGGUGCUGGUUUUAUGUUUUUAAUGCAGGUGUAGGAACUAUGAUUAAGCAGGUGCAGGUUUAGGUGCUAUGAUUCAACUCAAAUUGAAAAUUCUGUGGACUGAUCUAAAACCCCUAUGGCUCUCUAGAGAUCUGAUGCAAAACUGAAUCAUAAAUGUAGUGUAUAUCAUGCCUAAAUGAGAAUAUAAUUCAGAUGCCUAAAUGUGAAGAUUGGAUGUUCAAAGUAUGGGUUGGUAUGUUGCUGCCAUAAUAUUAACACAUUCUGCUGUUGGAAUUUUGGAACUGCCUGUGGUGACCUACAGUACCUACAUCCAUUGUGGUAGUUAAAUAGCAUUGUGUUGGAAAGUGUUCUUUUAGUAGCUCUAUAGAUUAUGUUUAUGCAUUUUUCAGUAGUUUGUUGGGUGCUCUGAAUGUGAUGGUUGGUACAUCUAUUUUAUCACCUAUUUGAUGUAUACGGGUUGGGACAUCCCUGAAAUGUCCCAUUUUAAUUAUUAUUAUUCUUUGCUGAUAAAAAAAAAAUCUAUCAAAAUAUAUUAUGAAGAAAUAAAUAAUAUAUUAUGCUAUUAGUCUAAUAAAAUAAACAAAAAAAUAUCAUCAUUCGAAUAUCUAUCAAAAUAUAUUAUGAAGAAAUAAAAAUCUUACCACGGAAUCAUUUAGGAGGGUGACAGGGGAUGAACACGCAGACGGUUGUGGUUGUGUCAUGGUAUAAGUAGAUGACCAUAGACCAUGUAUAGUGAACUUCAAUUUUACUUUUGUUGCAUUACAGUGAAUAUUAUGAUUGGAACAAAAGCCUGGUGGCCAAGUUUCUGCAAUCUUCCAAUAUUGAAAUCCCAUGGUUGAACCAUAGAAAAAGAGAGAAAGGAUGAAGACAAAUUUGAGAUAAUUCAUUAUGAAAGUUUAUGAGAAAUGAUGAACUUAAUCAUCUCAUUUUAUAGUGGCAAGGCUUCAGAAGUUAGCUGCUGAUUUUAUUAACUUUUGGUAAUUGAAAUUCAUGAAAAUUCUAAAACUUACUUAUUAUCUUAUAAAUAAGGGUACAUAAUAAGUAUUAGUUUGGAACAUAAUUUACUAAAACUUUAGUAAGACAACUUUAAUUUUACUGCACACGUGGAUCAAGAAUGCACCAAUCAGAUUUUGAAUCUGUACUUUCAAUCUGGUUUAUUCAAUUAGAACAUGUGUUGUCCAAUCUCUUUAGUUUAUUUCACAUGAAUUGUCUUAAAUGAUUCACAUAUGUCGUGUUAUGUUCAACCAAAUUUUAAGGUAUGAGAGAUGUUUGGUGAGACUCUGAUUUUUCAUUCAUUAUUUAAAAAUUGAAGAUUGUCAAUUAUGAGUUAUAUGCACUAUUAUUUUUAAAAAGAAGCUACUAAAAUCACUAGUGUGGUAGCCACACAUGCAUGGAUUAAUAUCUUAGGUUUUCAUUUCUACAUAUUUUCUUCUUCACUUUUCAUUUCAAUUUGGUUAUAAAUUUAAAUUUAGUUAUACAUGUAUAUCUACUGUUAUAUCUAUUUAUUUGUUAUUAUUUUUUUUAAAAUAUUUUAUUAAAUAUAGAUAUAUAUUGUGGUUGAAAAAACAUAUGAAUGCUUAAAUGAUAAAUCAGUAAAUAAACAAAUGUUCACAGUUCUCAAAUAUGAUAUUUUAUAGGCGUAUUGAAAUCUAUAGUAUUUUACGAAGGUUUUGAAACCCAUGGUAUUUUACGGAACUUUCAAACCUAUGGUAUUUUAUGGAGGCUUUAAAAUCCAUCAAAUUUUAUGAAGCUUCAGAAAUCCAUUGUUGUUAAUAGGGAUUUUGAAACCUCCGUUAAUUUUACUUAGGGUUUAACAAAAUCCUAGGCAACAUGUUCCCAACAUAUUGUUUAACUGGGAAACUACAACUUUUACUUAACAGAGAUUUUAACUCUUGGUAAUCCAAAAAUAAACCUCUACCAAAACCUUUUUUCUCGUAGUGUUAAGACAAAAAUUGUUACAUUUUAAAAAAGUUGGACUAGUGUAACAACGUUUUAAUAACCAUUUUCUAUAUUAAAGACAACUUUAAUUAAAUAUGAUUUUAAAUGCCCACAAUUAAUGACCACAUUUUAUUAUUUUAGACCAUACUUUAUUAAUGUGAUUUAUUCUUUUUGUUAAAGGUCAUACCAUAAAACUCUGACAUAAACAUACAAGAUUUGAAAUACGUUGUCUAUAGAGAUUCAUAAGUCACAUUUGUAAAAGUGUUUUUUUUUUCACUUUUACUAACUAACUAGUGGCUUUCUUUCUCAACUACCUACUACUUUUACUAAAAAGAAGAUAUUGAGUUUAACCUUUGAACUCAUUUUCCAGUCCAUGAAAGCCACCUAUACAAUUGACAGUAAGCAGGACAACAAUCAAUCAAUAUUACAAAGUUAAUUUCAUCUCUUCAUAAAGAAGAUUUAAGUCGAAAAUUAAACAUCCAUAAAACACAACUUUAGGAAAAUGAUUUUCCGAAUGUAACCACACUACAAUAAGUUUAAAGGAUUUCCUAACAUCCAAGAGUGUAUAAAGAAUUCAUGAAGCAUAUUGGAAGAAACAUUUUGAAGACUGCUUUGGGGUAUAAACAAAAUAAACUGAAUGAAAAUGCCUGAAAUCAAUUAAAUCAAUUAAAUCCAAAACAGACUACCUUGCUUAAAUGCAAAUGCCGCAAAACUCCUCCCUCCUUCCACUACCUCCAACGUCACCGCAUGAAAUAGGUUUGGUUAGAUUGAAAUGAAAUAGCGCCACCACAUUACUCAAGCAGAUCAGAACAAUAGCGAGCAUAGACCUGAAGAAAUCCUUGUGCGAAGGCGUCGAUAGCGGCGAUUUUUGAUAAUAAUCGCGAGACAGCUAGCAAAAAUGAGUGAGGAUAAGAAUCGCCACUUAUUCAACUGACUUAAGCACAAAGGAGUGAGGAUAAGAAUCGCGAGUAGGGCUUUGUGAGAGGGCUUCGUUAGGGUUUAAGUGUUUAGGUAGAGAGAGGUUUGAGUGUUUAGGCAAAGAGAAAAGGAAGACAGAGGUCCAGCUCCCCACCGCAUUGUUGCAAGAAGAAAGGCCUAUCGGAAUUGGGGGACUUCUGCUCCUAUCCGAGGCGGUCUAGAAGGCUAAGUGCAAGAAUCUCCCAAGCAGGGAUAAUGGCUCACAAUAGAGACGAGUUGUCUUCAAAUUCAAUUUCAGAUAGGAACAUCUAUAAUUGUAAUCACCACCUCGCUGAACUCGUAAACCAAGCGGGACCAUCCAAGUUAUUGGAAGUGGGGAAGCAAGUUGGGAUUAUGUGUCGAAGGGAUGAAGAGGAGGUUGUAAAAGAAUAUGGGAGUAUGGAAGACCGUGAUUCAGGGUUUGCAUUGUGCUCUAAGGUGGGAAGUAAGAACGGUUCUUAAUUAUAGUAGUGAACUUAAAUAUUAGAGGUGUGGGGGGAAGUACUAAAGCUAGGUAUUUGAGACAUGUAAUAGCUUGUGAGGGGGCGGAAUUUGUCUGUCUGCAAGAAACAAAAGCUAAGGUGUUCACGGAAGCAAAAUGUUAUUCCCUAUGAAGGGACAACAAAGUGGGUUGGCUUCAUCAUGAAGGAGACAAUGGUAGUGAAAGUUUGUUGUCUAUGUGGUACGAAGAGGCUUUUAGCUAUGUAAGUCAUGUGAUGGGUAAGGGUUUCAUUGUUGUCUUUGGUAACCACAUUAAAUCCAAUACCAGUUGUGUAAUGGUUAACGUUUACGCUGCUUACACUUUGAGUGAGAAGAAGAUCCUUUAGUAGGAGUUGUCUGAAGUUAAAUCGGCUUCUCAAGUCUUGGUUUGGUGUAUGUGUGGUGAUUUUAAUGCCAUUAGAAGUCGGAAUGAAAGGAAAGGUAUAAGGGAUAGGGUUAAUCAUUCAGGUGAGAUCAAUGGGUUCAACAACUUCAUCGAUGCCAAUUCUCUCUUUGAUCUGCCUAUAGUAGGAAAGACUUUUACCUGGUUUAAGUCUAAUGGGUCGGCAAGGAGCAGAUUAGACAGAGUGCUUGUCUCUGAAGAGUGGAUGGAAAAGUGGCCUAUAUGUAAACAGUAUGUGCAACUAAGGAAAGUCUCAGACCACUAUGCAAUAGUGGUGAACUCUGUGGAUAAGGAUUGGGGGCCCAAGCCUUUUCGAUCUAUUGAUGCAUGGCUCAUGGAGAAGGGGUUUCGUGAGAUGGUGAAGGACAAAUGGUUAUCAUACCCUGUGUAGGGGAAUGCUUUUACAAAGGUCAAGGAGAAGCUGAAGUGUCUGAAGGGUGAUCUGAAAGUCUGGAAUAGGGAUGUGUUCGACAACAUCCAAACCAGUAAGAAGAGGAUUUUGCAGGAAUUGGUGGACCUAGACUGCCAAGAUUGCAUUGUUGACCUCAGGGAAUAUGAUAGACUGAAGAGGUUUGAGUUGGUAGGUCGUUUGAAGGAAACUGAAAAGAAGUUAGAUUCCCUCAUUUGUCAAAAAGUUAGAGCAAACUGGUUCAAGAAUGGGGACUCUUGUACUAAAUUCUUUCACUCGUCUUUGAGGUGGAGAAGACUAAGGAACGAGGUUAAGGGAGUUGAGGUUGGAGGCAUCUGGUGUGAGGAACCUACUACUGUGCGUCAAGAAGCGAAGAAACUCUUUGAAAACAGAUUUAAAGCUAUGAAGGACUUUGGAGUUAGACUAGACAAGGUAGAGUUUAAGUUCUUUUCCUUAGAGAACAAUAUGAGCUUAACAACUGCCUUUUCUGAGGAAGAAAUAAGGGAUGUGGUGUGGCUAUGUGAUGGUUCUAAGAGUCCAUGACCAGAUGGUUUCAACAUGAACUUUAUCAAGGGAAGAUGGGAGUUUAUAAAAGACGACAUUAUAGCAGCGGCGACCAUCUUUCAUGAAAAUGGGUUUAUUCCAAAGGGUUGCAACACCUCUUUUGUAGCACUUGUACCCAAGGUAAGGGAUCCUGUUAAGCUUGCACAAUAUAGACCUAUCUCUCUAGUAGGUGCUAUGUACAAGAUCCUCUCGAAAGUGUCGGCGGGUAGGAUAAAGAAAGUCCUCACUUUUGUGAUUGAUGAUUGGCAAUCGACUUUUCUCAAGAAUAGAGGGAUUCUUGACAAUGUGCUCAUGGCUAAUGAGGUGGUAAAGGAUCUAAGGAGGGGUGGGAAGAGUGGUUUGUGCUUAAAUGUGGAUUUUGAAAAAGCUUACGACUCAGUCAGUUGGGAGUUUCUUUAUGAUAUGCUUAAUAGGAUGGGGUUCGACAGCAGAUGGAUUAUGUGGAUCCAAGGAUGUCUGGAGAGUGCAACGGUGUCUGUACUCGUUAACGGUAGUCCUACAGAGGAAUUCAAACCAUCGAGAGAGUUAAGGCAGGGCAAGCCCCUAGCUCCAUUCCUGUUUCUUGUGGUUGCGGAAGGGCUUGCUGGGCUAGUAAGGCAAGCGGUGAAGGCAAACCUCCUAGCUGGGAUAAAAAUAGGAAGAAAAGAGGUAGAACUUAGCAUUCUCUAGUUUUUUACGACACCCUGUUCUUAUGUCAGGAUUCCUUGAGCAACGUGGUUACCUUGAAGUCUAUUCUCAGGGGGUUUGAGAUAGCCUCAAGGCUGAAGAUUAACUUCCACAAGUCAAAAUUAGCAGGCAUAAAUGUCUGGAAAAGUAAUUUGGAUUGUUAUGCAAAGACUCUGAACUGUGGCCAAAUGAGUGUGCCCUUCAACUACUUAGGCUUAAAAGUGGGGGGUAAUCCGAGGAAGAACAAGUUUUGGGAACCUGUCCUAAACAAACUAAAGUCAAGACUCUGUAUGUGGAAAGGGAGAUUUCUAUCAAUGGCAGGAAGAUUAUGUUUAAUCAAAUCUGUUCUAUUUGGUGUGCCGCUCUACUACCUGUCCCUCUUCAAAGCACCAGAUGUGGUCUGUAAAAGCAUUAUUAGUAUCCAAAGGAGGUUCCUAUAGGGGUGGGGAAAGGAGAAGAUGUCGAUAUCAGGGAUUAGCUGGAAAGAUUUGUGUAAAUCAAAAGAGGAAGGUGGAUUGGGGAUCAGAGACAUCCGGAAGUUUAAUUAUACACUCAUGGCCAAGUGGAAAUGACGUUAUAUCUCUAACGAGAAAGGAAGGUGGAAGGAAGUGCUGGACUCGAAGUACGGCCUGAAACUAGACAAUGGGCUUGUGCCUGUGAAAUACCAGUCUUGGUGGUGGAGAGAUUUGACGAGUAUCUGUAGGGAGGGAGGAGGAGAAGGGUGGUUUCAAGAUGAAGUAGGCUGGAAAAUAGGGAGUGGAGAUAAAAUUCGUUUUUGGGAGGACAUGUGGGUAGGAAAUUCAAAGCUAAAAACCUUGUUCCCGAGAUUGUUUUCCCUGUCGUUAAACCAAGGCCAUAAGGUGGAAGAAGUAGGAGGGUGGGAAGGAUCGGUGUGGAGGUGGACCUUAAGUUGGAGGCGAGGUAGAUUUGAGUGGGAAACCUUGAUGGAAUCUGAGCUGGGCGACCUCAUCUCCAGGGUCACUGUGAUGAAGAAUGAGAAGGAUACCCUCGUGUGGAGUAGUGAAGCUACCAGGUGCUUUACAGUUAGUUUUGCGUAUGAGUGCCUAGUUAAGACUACUAGGGGCCCUCAAAUUGAAGCGUUCAAGUAUCUCUGGAAGGCGAAGACGUUCCCAAAUGUUAUGUUCACAGCCUGGAGGGUGCUACUGCGCAGAAUUCCAACAAGGCUUUGUUUGAGAAGGAAAGGGGUUUUGCUGGACACUACUGUAUGUGCUUUUUGCGAGGCCAAGGAGGAGUCAUGUCAACACCUUUUCCUGGAGUGUAAAUUUUCUUGCUGCGUCUGGACCAUGUGCCUUAGAUGGAUUGGAGUUCUUUUUGUCCAACAUAAUGAUAUUAGGAACCACUUUGAAAGCUUCCACUUGACCCAGGGUAGUAAUAAACAAAAUCUGAUUUGGAAAGGGGAAUGGGCUACCAUUGUCCGGUGUUUGUGGGAGCAUAGGAAUGCAGUAGUGUUCAACCAAGGUGUUGUAGAUGAGGAAGAAGUGUUCCAAAAGGCCCAGCUUAAAUCGUGGUUAUGGUUAAAGUAUAAGAGGUAUAAUUUUAACUACUUUUUCUCUGAUUGGGUUUUGAAUCCAAUGCUAUGUAUCAGUAGCUACAAGUAGAAUAUGUGAUGCUUUGGAAGGGUUGGAGGUCUAUGAUUGGUGGUGGAACAGAGGAAAGGAAGGUGGCUUGCUCUUGCUGCUCUUGGAGCUCCUUUGGUGUUGUUGGUUGUAGGAGUUGAGGUCUAGCCGAAGGUGUCCAGUGGUGUGUUGGGUAUGGUAAGCAACCCCCUUUAGCUUCCCCACAAUCUGUCAAAGAAUAAGCUUUAGCUGGUUCACACUUAUGGUUUUCUAACAAGUUGUUUGGUGGGUUGCAAGAACCGGAACGUGAGGUGCUGCAGUAUGGCUUUUGAAUGAGGACCUAGUGUGCAGACUUGAAGAUCUGUAGACAGGGGGAGGUAAUGGAAUCAUGUAGAUGGUUGUUGUGUCCCUACAAUAGUCAUGGUUGAAAAUGUGUUGGAGCAGUGUGUAAGCAUGUUAAGCAAAGAUUCAAAGAAGCUGACAAUGGUACUGAGGUAGAUCUUGAAUGGGCAAAUCACUCAACAUAAUCUUUGGUCCUCUGGAAUGUAAUGCAGUAGCCAACUUUAGAUAACUAGGAGUAGUAAGUUUUAUCCCCUGGUUUGUAUUGGGUCUGCUUGCUGGUUGACUGGAGGUGUAGGUCCCUUAGCUUGGCAAGGAGCUAUUCUUUGUACCAGAUCUCUUCUGUGGUUGUGUUGUUCUUUGUUUGGCUUUAUAUGCACUCAAGGGAUAUGUAUGGGGUGUUAAAUGGUCGGUGGUUAAGAGCAUUUUUGGUGUAUCCAUUAUAUAUGUAUUGUUCUCUCAUUUUGUUUAAACAUGCAUGUGAAAGUUCUUUUGAUAUGUGUCACAUGAAAUAUAGUUUUCAUUCUCCAGGACAUCCAACAUGUGGAUGUGGUAGGAUUUGUAAAAUGCUAACAUUCUUUGUUUCUAGUAUUAGUACUUUAUCCAUUUAAAUAAAGAGGUAUGUAGGUUGAUGGCUUAACCUUUGUUCUUCAUAAACCUUUAGAUUUUUUUUGCAUUUUGUUCUAUAAAAAAUUAAUUCCAAGAGGUUACCAUUGAUACCAAUUAAAUUAAAUAUACAUGAAGAUUUUAGAAGGAGAGUUAAAUAAAACAUGACUUUUUCACGAAAAUAGUAUACACUUAGGUCAUUGUACAAGAAGGAUAAAAGAACUUAUAGGGGUCACCUUAAACAUUUAGGUCAAAUCCAAUUCUUCUAUAAGAGUUAUAUUCAUCUUGACAUUGUUGAAUAAUUAUGACAUUGUUGGUUUUAAUGAUCAAACAUUGAUUACAAAAUUAUAUUCAUCUUGGUGUUGUUGUUAAUAUCGUUUUCCAUCCAUUUUGAUAUGCAGAAUUAUUCGAAUUUAACUUGAAAAUUUUCUCUUGAAUCUACAUAUGAUAUGAAAGGUUGUGUUUCCUUUUUUCCUCGUAAUCAAUAUUAAAAUAUAAAUAAAGAACAAUACAAAAUAACAUAAUAUUUCCAUAUAUUGCAUAAAUAUAGUAAUUGCAAAUGGUCAUUCAAAUGUAAUUACUCUAGUUAUAGAAUGUUAUGCUUUGGGCACUGUUUUUAAAUUAACUUAGUCCUAGUAAACCAUUUUUAGGAUGGAUAAUUUUUUUUAUAUCUACAAAUAGUUGAUUGUAUUUGCUUAUGACUCAUUUAUCUUUGAGUAAUUUAUUAUUAGAUUGUUUAGAGUAUAUUAUGCUGGUACAAAAUUAUAACAUUGUGUUAAAAGACUAUUUUAUAUUGUAUAGGUCUUAACACCUAUAUAGAACUAUUAAAAGUACCUUUUUAUUUGAAACCAUAACACAUUUAAAGGUAAAAGAUCAUUUUAAAAUUUGGAAUAAAAAGAUAAAUAAGGAUGCUUAAACCUUUAAAACAAAAUUAUAUGUACACAUUCCCAUUAUGAAAUGAUUUCAUAAUUUAUAUAUCAGGAGAAAAUUAUUAAAUACUAACCAAAUUUAGAAAUAAAAAAUAAUUAAUCACUGUACUAAAUAAAUUGGAUAUUAUUGUAGAAACUAAAAAAAUUAUUGGUAUUUAAAAUGAUUUUUAUUAUUAAUAAAAAUUUAUAAAAUAAUUUCUAAAUUGACAUCUAAACUAUCUAUCAAAAUUUUAGUUACUAAUAUUUUAGAUUCUAAAUUAGUCUCUAAAAGACUAAUUUAAAAUAUAAAAUAGUAAGUAGCUAAAAUUUUGGUAGCUAAUGAUUAGACAUGAAUUUAAAAAACUAUUUUAUAAAUUUUUAUGAAUAAUAAAAAAUAUUUUAAUUAUCAAUAAUUUUUUUAAUUUAUAAAACAAUCUAUAGUUUAAUUAAAUAAUAACUAAUUACUCUUUUUAAAAAUUAAUUUCUAUUUAAUGAUUUAUCUAUAUGCUUUAUAAUGAGAAAUUAACAACAUCAUACAAGAGAAAAUUAUGAUAACCCAUCAUUAACCACUGAAGAAGAAAAAUAAUUAACUAUGUAAGAAGAUUUUUCUUAUAAACUACUAAUUGGCAUAACCCACCAUCUAUUUGGACACCAAGCUUUUGAAUUUUGUGGGUAGUUAAAUCAAACCAGGUUAAAUCAGAAUCAUAUGUUUGGAAGAGUAUAUUGCCUAAAUUCCUUGCUCCGAUAGAGAAAGCAAUGUCUGGUAUGGGUCCAAAAACAAAGAGUUUAUUCCAUGUUUCCUUCUUACCCAGUUCAACCAAAAUUGAUAUGUAAAAGGUGUUUGUGCAUGCAUAAUUGGACAUCAAAGCGAUUGAUCCAUUUAAGAGCAAUAAGUGUCUCUUCACCAAAUUCAUAUCAAAAUUAUCAUAUAUUUCUGUGGGUAUGUCUAAAGGUGCAAAGGUUGUAAUGAACACCUCAUUGCUCAAAUCAAAUGAUACCAAAUGUGCAUCAGGACCGUCUCCAUAACCCAACCAGUGACACAUUCCCUCGAAGAAGAAGUUUUCACCAACUUCUUGGCUCAAUAAAGGCACCUCAAAAUCAACUUGAACUUUCUUCCAAGAGUUAUAUCUUAGGCUAUACAUCUCCCAUAUGUCUUCUAUGCAUAAAGGACCAUCAUCAAAAUAGUCCAUCUCUGCAAGGUCAUUAUAAAAGAAACACACUCUCCUAAUCACCUUAUAAUCAUCUCUAACACAAUCAUAGCCAAAUCCGUGAAAUAUAAUGAGAAGAUCGACACUAUCUGGAAAAGACUGAACUGGACUAGGAGGAAUCACAUUGAGUUGGUUCGUAUCUGGGUUCCACAGAUACACAAAUCUUCCAUAUGGUAUGUAUAGGCAAAGAGUUCCAUUCACACUACAAGAACCCAAAAUACGAAAUCCACAAGGGUAAACAUCUUCAACUUCUGGACACUCUAAUUUUUCCAUAUUUUGAAACCUCUCUCCAGAAACUGAAAAUAAGUUGGAUUUACGAGUAUUUUGGUAAGGUAGAUUGAUAAAUAAAAGGAGAGAUGUAUCAUCAUAGUAGGAAUGCUGAUUACGUAUGAAGUUAUUACGAAAAAGGUUCAUAAAAUCAGAGUUUUCAAAUAAGAUGGUCCAUGAUCUUUGUAGGCAUCCAAAUCUUUUGAGAGAUUUGAAAGGAAGGUUAGACAUAACAGAUAAUACAAGAUCAUUUGGCAAGUGAUUCAUAAGCUUUUGAGCUACAAAUUUGUCGUCCCUGUCUUUGUUAUGCGACCAAAUGUUAAUGAGUAGCCAAUGGUCUUUGGUGUUCUCAGUCCACAGGUAAAUGGGGUGGGAGAUGUGUUGGCAGUUUUUGAUAACCAGAUUCAUGAUGGUGUUCUCUUCCAAGUACUCCAACUGUUAAAUAAAAUCAGUGAACAAAAGCAAUAACAGAAAAAAUUUGUGAAUAGGUAAAUUUGUGAACCUGGUUGUCCUUGAGGAAGAGGGUGAUAUUGGUUCCUCUUGAGGAUUGUUGGGCAUUUAUGUCCUUGGUAACCAUGAAUGAGGCAUCCUUUUGAGAUUCCCAGAUAUAUUCAUCAUGGUCAUUGUGCUUAGUGGUGAUGAUAAUCUUAUCAGCAAUUAAAUAAGCAGAAUAGAAGCCAACUCCCAAGUUAUAUGCCAAAUCUAAAAUAAACACUUACAAUAAAUUAACAAAUACAAAUACAUAUUAAACAUGAACACCUUCCUACCUGUUUUGGUCAUGCCAAUACCCGUGUCGAUGAUAGAUAGUGUUUUGUUACCCUUGUGAGGGACCAAUCUUAUGAUCAACUCAUCAUCUACAAUGUUCUUAUCCCUAAUUCUCUCAAAUUGAAUUCUAUCCAAAGCCUGUGUAUACAUACAAUGAUCGAUAAAAGUUACAGAAAAGAAAUGUAUAAAUGUAAAAUCGAAUUAAAGAACUACUUACGUCAGAAGCAUUGUUGAUAAGUUCAGAAAGGAAGAUUUCUUUAUUAGAAUAAAAAGUCUUGUUCGUGAGACUUAACGCCUUGUUUGUCUCACCUUCUAAAACAAACAUCUCAUCAUUUGCCAUUACAAUUGAUUUAGAAUAAUAGCAAACCAAAAGUGACUCAAUUCAACAAAACAAAACCACUUUUAUAUUCAUUGGCCACACCACACCCACCAAAUAUAAUCUGUUAAUUAAUAGAAACCACCAUACACUUUCACUUUUAAUUAUUUUGAAAAACAUUCAUUAUUUAUUAUCAUGAAUUAAUUAAUUAAAUUUUAAAUUUAUUAAUAAACCAUUAUCAUGAUCACUUUCUUGUUCCUUAAAUGUUUUUUUAAUUUUCAAAUAUUAUUUAAUUUUCUCUCAAGUUAUUAAUUAAGUCAUUAUUUCAAUGGAGUGUGAAUUCGUUUCAUGCACGUUAUUUGAUUUUGCAUUAUUAUAAACUAACAUAAACAAUUCCUUUUAUAUAACUCACUAACAUUACUACUAGAAAAAUUCAUUUUAACUAUCAACAAAAAAAAAUGAGGGCUAUAAAAAAAGAAGCCACUAGUAUGGGUGAAUUCUAUUCAAGUUGGACACAAAAUUAAAUGUUAUAUUAUGUGCACAAUGGAGACCUUUAACUCACACUAAAAAUUAUUAAAAUGAUAAUAAGUUAGUGUUUAGAAUGAGGACACAAUGUAGAUGCAAAAAAAAUAAAAUUAAGUGACAAAAUAAUAUUGAGUCUAAAAUGGAUACACAAAGUGGAUGUAAGUUAAAAAUUAUUAAAAUAAUAAUAAUAAGUUAGCGUCUAGAAUGGGGACACAAAGUAAAUGCAAUCAAAAAAUAAGUUGUAGAAUGAUAAAGCGUCGAUAAUGGGAAUACAAAGUGAAUGCAAGUUAAUUUAGCGUAUUUAGGCGACACUAAGGUGACGUGGACAUUUAUUGUCACCUUAGCCCACGCUAAAUUAUUUAAUGAGAAAAAAAACAUUAAAACAUUUUUGUCUCACAUUUUAAUUUUCUCACAAUUUCAAUUUCUCAUUUUUGUCUCACACUUUAAAACUCAUAAUCUUGAAAUUCCUCCUAAAAACCCUACGUCUUCUUCGUGACCAUUUUGCUUUCCUUAAUUUAUGUUCCUGCCGGUUGAAUCGAAACGCCUUCGUACGCUUACGUCACUCUUACGUCCGGAGUCCUUGCGUUCACGUGUGCUUUUCUUGUGAUGAACACCUGAAACACAAAAAACAAAGGGCGCCCUAGCGGUCGUUUGCACUCCGACGCUCAAGUUAGUACUAGGGUUAGGAAACACCGAAACAAUAUAAUCUUGCUACUGUGUGUGUGUUUUAUGGCGCAAGAGAAUCCUCUCUUGUCAUGUUUGUUAACUUACUAUUUAUAGAAUGAAACUAGGGUUUCCUGUUUACCUGAAAUGGGCCUUUCUGAUGGGCAGACCCAACACUAUUCUUACCUUACUCUCAGGGUAACCUAGCGCGUGAGGUCCCUAACUAGAGUGCAACCUCUGAUAGGAUGACCACCUGGGUGCCACCUCGUGCACCUGAUCUCUGGGGUCACCCGCCUCUAGGAGUGCCCUAGCUGUUCACGUGCCAUGCAUGCAGCUCACCCUUGAACGUGACCCUUGCAGGCCAUAUCUUUCCAGUGGCUCUAUACUUUGUGUCACACCUGAACGCGUCGUCCACUCUACAUGCAGGUCAAUCGUGAUCUAGGCUUCUCCUUUACUGAUAACUGGUGUGUGAUUGGGGAUCCACCUCUCGUGGCCCAUGUCUACUGUUUCGGUUUCCGAUGUCUGACCUCUCCAUAUUGUUUAGUGGCAAGUCGGUACAUCCUGAUGACCGAUGUCUGACCACUCUUGGCUCCUUGGCGCAUGUGCUUUGCGGGGUACUGGCCCGCGCUGCUCAUGGGACCCGCUUACGUGGCACCAACUUACCAGUGGUCAGUCAACGCUCGGGGACCGGUCGAUACGCAAGCCCCCCAGUCUCGAGUUGUAACUCGUUCAGCGAAGAGGCUAAGUCCUUGCCCUGGGUUACCUACGUGGCUCUAUGUGAUAUGACGUAAAUACGACGCCAAAGUGACGUCUUUCUGGGCCUGUCUUAUCUGUGCACACGUGUCUUUGAUCAACGACUAGGGUUUAACGUCGCUUACGCUUCUUUGUUUAUUUUUAAACUCUUGAAAACACACGCGUCUAAUCGCUUGUUACAUCAUUCUCCGAAACUCUUCGAUCGUUUCGCCUUCUUCCUCAAGCAUUCUCGCGCUUCCUUUACGCAUUUCUGCCUUCUCUUGCUAUCGACAGUAGGUAUGAACCCUGAUUCCCAUUCACACCUGUUUACUGAUUCUGGUUCUGGAUAACUACCUGUGUUACUUAAUCUUUGCAUCAAUCACCUUCUAUUUCUGGGUUUCCUUUGAUUCAAGAAACCCUAAGCUCUGGAAGGUGUUAAUUCUUGUUAUCAAAACGUCGCGUUUGCACGUUCUACCUUCGCACAUUCACAUGCUUUAUCUCUGUAUUUCUUAUGAACUUUGUACGCAAGCAUGGUUUUGAGCGAAGAAAAAAGGGCUAGGUUAACUGAUAUUCUCACUCGUCUUCACAGGAUUUCCAGGGACAUGGGUGUUAGAAUGAUUGGCUUUAAACUAGAGGGGGGUGAAUGGUUUAAAAAAGGUUUUCACAAACUUUUUUGGAUAGAAUGAAAAUACUUCGUAAGAAACCAGAUUUAGGAAUUUAGUUUGCCAAGAACAAAGCUCAAAACAGAAAAUCAACAGAAAAACAAUCGGUUGUUUCGCAAAAACAAUCGGUUGUUUUUACCAACAUAUAACAACAAAUGAAAUUAAAGAGUUUAAGGAAGAGAGAAAUGCACAAAUAGUUUAUACUGGUUCACUCUUAACCCAAGAGCUACAUCCAGUUUCCCAUAAACCACUGGGGAAUCCACUAGGUAAUCAAAUCUAGAUUACAUACACACACCACCAAAGAAGUGACCUUGAUCCCCUUAAGACACACUUCCUUUGGCUCUGCACAUACACCACCAAGAAUGUUGAUCUUGACAACCUCAAGAGCACACAACCCUUCUUGGCUUUAUAACACCAGAAUGUUCACAAAUUACAGAACGAAUUACACUGUUACAGAAUCAACUGAAAUUAAUACAGAGUAAUCCUAUUGCACUUCUCUCUUGAAUAACCAAAGCUUAAAGUUAAAAACUCAAAUGCUUGAAAAAACUCUUUGAAAAACUCAAAUCUGUCUUUUUGUCUUGUUGAUUGUUAUAAAACAUUAACAAACUAUUUAUUGUGUUCAAAUCUUGGUCAAAGAAUUUAAAGCAGAAGCAGUUCCUGCAAGACAAAGUUUAAGCAAUGCACAAUAUCUCUGAUAUAGGGUUAGAGAAAAAAACAGAAACAGUAUAUCAACAGUAUAAAAACCAGCAGAAAUAAGGUUUACUUAAACACUCUUAAACCACAUAGACUUUGCAGAAAUAAAAGAUAAUGAAAGACAACACAACACAAAUCUCCCCUUAUUUGUCUUCACAAAUAGACAAAAAGAAGAGAUAGAAAGAUAAUUGUUCCAAAUCAUGCAGAAAAUUUAAAACAAAAGAAAUUAAACUGAUACAAGACCAAAAACAAUCGGUUGUUUCGUGAAUUCAACCGGUUGUUUUUCCUUUAAUCAUCUUUGCCAUACUGAAGUUCAAAAAAUUUGAUUCUGAACAGCUUCUAUCUGUUCAUCCAAGGUCAUGAAUCGUGUAUCCAUGUUGUUGAACCUGUUGUCUAUACUCUGAAAGUUGCUUACAUACAAAACAUGAAGAUUUCUUUGAUUCUCGGCAAAUCCAUCUAGCCUAUUUACCAUGUAUCUUUCAAAAGAAGACAUGGAUGGCAUUUCAUCUCCUUGAUUUCCUGCACUGGUUCCAACACCUACAUUGGUUUCAGGUUGCUCUUGAUGGUGAAAAUCCAUGUCAGCAGUUUGAUCUUCCUCAUCAAAAGCAGCAGCUGCAGCACUAGAUGAAGCACCAUGAUCACCAUCUUUGCUCACCCAUUUCCCACUUAUUUUGGUGAAUCCCAUCUUGCUAAGAGAGCCAUUGUUCAUCUCUUGUGUUGACUUGACCAGCUCAGAUGUAUCAUCCUUAAGAUUCACUUCAAAAUAAAGCAAGAAUUUAGAGAUUAAAAUAACAUAGGGAUAGUGAUAAUCAUUUAACCUCAUGGCUUUUUGCAUGUGUUCUUUGAUGAUGUGGAUCCAGUUGAUUUUGAUCUUCUUUAUGAUGCAGUAGAUGUAUACUAGGUCUUCUUCUAUUAGGACAUAAUGAUUGCUCCCCCUUGGAGUAAGAAUCCAAGUUACAAUAAGAGCAAUCACCCUUUCAUCUAGCUUUAAGCCUCCAACCGAACAAGUUUUCACUUGGGCAUUUUGAUUCUUCAAGCAACUCUUGUAGUAUUGGACUUUGCUGAUAUCCUCCACUACUCCAAAAUUUCCCUUGUUGAUUCUCAGGCCAGCAUAUUUCAGACCUGCAACAGCAAUCCACACAUCAUAAGUGAUCUCCAUGUCAACUCCCUUCACAUGAGAAACAAGGUUGUUUCCCUCAAACUUGAGGUUGGUGUAAAACACCUGAAUCAAAUCAGGGUAAAUGUUCCUCUUCUUCUCCAAGAACCUUCUUAGAGAUUGAUCUUUGAGUAGCUUCCUCACAUUAUCUAGCUUUUGGCUUUUCAACCAAUCAAAGGAAACAACUUUGGGGUUGUUGAUCACCUUUGUGCUAGUACAAACCUAUACCUUUCAAUGAGCUCAUUGUCUCCAGAAAACCAGCCCUUUAAUCUCCCUCCAGACCUCACUGCUCUAGUUUUGACCCUCUUUGAUGUAGGAGGAUUUGAUUCCAUGACAGCAGAAAAAAAGGGCCAAGAAGACUCACACAAGGACAACAAGAGUUGUUGCAAGAGAUGACUCAAUUGGUUGUUCUUGUGAGAGUGAACAACUGCAACAAAAUUUAAAGCAACACAGAGCCAAAUUGCAUUCAAUGAUGUGAGUGGGUUUCAAUUUUUCAGAGAGAAAAGACUUGACCAAGACCUGUACAGAAAACGUCAGAAAAAGCAGAAAAUCACAUGGUCAUCACAUGUGAUCUUUGACUAGUCAUAAAAGCUCUUAAAUUUUCAAGAUUUUGGAAUAUAUUCCUUUAUGACAUGUUGUAACUUCCUUCAGAACAUAAUCAGGCUUUCAACACAGCUUUAUUGUCCCAUAUCCUUUCAUAAUUAAUAUAUGCAACAGACAAAAACUAAAAAGAAAUUAAAUCCAUUCUUUCACAGUGCUGUCAGAUACAAAACAAUCGGUUAUUUCGAGAAAACAAUCGAUUGUUUUUCUGCAGUAGUAAAGCAGAUUUUGGAUUUUUAAUCAUUGAGCAGAAAGGAUUCAAAACAGAUAUAUUUGACCAUUUUAAAAGAGAUAUUUAAGCAUGAAUAUGAAUUUAAGAAGGAAUUAAAGAUAGAGAUAAGGAAGGUCUUAUCCUUUAUGAUGUUCCUUUAAUGAGUCAUAUGCCUUUUGAUCAAGAAGCCUCUUUUGACUAUUGAGAGCCUUGGACUGAUACAUAACAUUGAUUCAGCUUCAAUGUUAGUCAUUUUCUUCCAAGAAUCUGAUCAGAUGACUCAAUUCAUCAUAUUACUCUAGAUUCCUUGCAUAAACAUGAAUUCAAGCAACAAGGUUUGGUCCCCUUACAAAUGUGGGUCCAUUUGGUUUACUUUUAUCAUUUGAAACCUCACAACCUUUAGGAAUCCAUUUCAUAAAGCCUUUGGGAACAAAAAAUUUCCUUAUUUUGCAGAAUCUAGGAGAAUGGCCUUUCUUUAUGCAAUAAAAUCAUGUAACAACCGAUUGUUUCGACUUAACAAUCGGUUGUUUUACUGGCUAUUUUGAAAAGCUUUUUGAAAACUUAUCUUGCUUGUUUUGUGGAUUAAAACCUAAUCCAGCUCUUCCAAAAAUACAGUUUUAAGAUGCCAAGACAUUCUCAUAGUCGGAUUUUCCUUUUGAAAGCUUACCCACAAUACUUACAAGAUAAUGCACUUUCCUUUCAAGAUUUUCACAAUUUUCGGAAAUGAGAGUGUCACACUUGCAGAAAGAGUUUUCGCAAUGUGUUUCAAGAUUUUCAAAAUCCCUUUUUGAUUUUUCCAGUUCUUCUUCAAGUGCUUUAACUCUAUUUUCAAGGCAGCUGUUAAGAUCUUUCAAUCGGUUGUUUGAAAGAACCAAUCGAUUAGAUUCAUCAUGUGUUUCUUGAAAAGCUUCAAGCAAUUCACUAUAAUUUUCUUCAUUUAAAGAAGCACAUGAACUUACUUCACUUGAGUUGCUUGACUCAUCAUCUCCUUCAGCAAUCAAGCAUAUGUUUGCCUUUUCUUCUUCACUUGAUGAUGAACUUGAUUAGGAGACUUCAUUCUCAUCCCAAGCUAUGUAGGCCCUUUUUUACUUUCCCUUCUUUUCUCUGUAGCUUGACUUCUUCUCCUUGCUUUCUUUAUUUGGGCAAUCUGCCUUUAUGUGCCCUUGCUCACCACAACCAAAACAAGUAUAGUUAUUGGAAUUAAAAUCUUUGGAUUUUUUGUUUCCAUACCUUUCUUUGUUGGUGUCUUUGUUGCGGUUCCUUUUCUAGAAUUUGCUAAACUUUCUAGAUAGCAAACUAAGGUUCUCUUCAUCACUUUCAUCAUUGGAUUCUUGCUUGCUUUUGUGCUUGACAGCUUUUAAGGCUAUGCUUCUUACAUGCUUAUCUUCACUUUCUUGAACAUUGAGUCUAUUCAUUUCUAACUCAUGUUCCCUAAGCUUGCCAAACAAAGAAGCCAUACUCAAUGAUGUUAGAUCUUUAGAUUCAUAUAUAACAGUUACCUUAGGUUGCCAAGACCUAUCAAGACAUUUGAGGAUCUUGAUGUUUAGCUCUUCUUUUUCAAAGGUUUUCUCAAGGCUCAUGAGGUGAUUAAUGAUAUGCGUGAACCUUUUUUUAACUUCAACAAUUGUCUCACCCUUGAGCAUUCUGAACAUUUCAUACUCUUGGAUUAGAGUAUGCUUUCUAGCUNNNNNNNNNNNNNNNNNNNNNNNNNNNNNNNNNNNNNNNNNNNNNNNNNNNNNNNNNNNNNNNNNNNNNNNNNNNNNNNNNNNNNNNNNNNNNNNNNNNNNNNNNNNNNNNNNNNNNNNNNNNNNNNNNNNNNNNNNNNNNNNNNNNNNNNNNNNNNNNNNNNNNNNNNNNNNNNNNNNNNNNNNNNNNNNNNNNNNNNNNNNNNNNNNNNNNNNNNNNNNNNNNNNNNNNNNNNNNNNNNNNNNNNNNNNNNNNNNNNNNNNNNNNNNNNNNNNNNNNNNNNNNNNNNNNNNNNNNNNNNNNNNNNNNNNNNNNNNNNNNNNNNNNNNNNNNNNNNNNNNNNNNNNNNNNNNNNNNNNNNNNNNNNNNNNNNNNNNNNNNNNNNNNNNNNNNNNNNNNNNNNNNNNNNNNNNNNNNNNNNNNNNNNNNNNNNNNNNNNNNNNNNNNNNNNNNNNNNNNNNNNNNNNNNNNNNNNNNNNNNNNNCGCAAAAAUUUAAGUCUAGAAUGAAAUCACUUUGAGAAAACUUGAUUAAGAAAUCAGUUUGCCAAAAACACAAAGCAAAUUAGCACAACACCAGAAAAACAAUUGGUUGUUUCAUAGAAACAAUCAGUUGUUUAUACCAGUUCACAAAUAUAAAUUGAAAUUAAAGAGUUCAAGGGAUAAAGAGAAUGCACACAGAGGUUUAUAUUGGUUCACUCUUAAACCAAGAGCUACAUCCAGUAUUCCCAGAAACCACUGGGGAAUCCACUAAGCAAUCAACCCUAGAUUACUUACAACACCACCAAAGAAGUGACCUUGAUCCCCUCAAGACACACAAUUCCUUUGGCUCAGGACAAACACCAUUAAGAAUGCUGAUCUUGACAACCUCAAGAACACACAACACUUCUCAGCUUCACACACAGAGUUUCUUCAAAGUACAAAAGGAUUACACUUGUUACAGAAAGAUCUUAAAUCAAUACAAGAUGAAAAUCCUAUUCCACACUCUCUUGAUCCAAGCAAACUCAAAGCAAACUCCAACUCUUCAAGAGAAAAAUCAGUGAAAAACUCAAAUAUGGUUUUUUUUAUUAAAUCUCAGUUCUUGUUUGUUACAUAAACUAAGCAAACUAUUUAUUGCAUUCAAAGACUGGUCAAAGCAUUUAAAACUAGAGCGUAAUCAGUUAUAAAAUCAUUUAAUGCUCAGUCAAAGCACAAAAUAGUUUUCUGUUAUGGUCCCAAAACAAACAAUCGGUUGUUUGGGUUUGACAGCAAGUCAACCAUCAAAAACAGUUUCCAACCUUUCUAAGAACACAUAAGUAUAAAACAAUCGGUUUUGAAACAACCGAUUGUUUUUCACUUAGUUUGAAAAACACUUUUCAAUUCAAAGGUUUGAGAAUGCUUAACAUUUGGAUUCAAUCAAUAGUUGAUUUAACACAGAUAAUCUACCCCAGAUCCUAUCUUAAGACAACUCAGCAACAACAAGCACAUCUAGCCUUCCAUCAAACUUCAAAGGGUUUGGAUUCUGCAAAGCUUGAACACACUUGAUUCAACACAUACACCACCAAGAAUGUUGAUCUUGACAACCUCAAGAGCACACAACCCUUCUUGGCUUUAUAACACCAGAAUGUUCACAAAUUACAGAACGAAUUACACUAUUAUAGAAUCAACUGAAAUCAAUACAGAGUAAUCCUAGUCCACUUCUCUCUUGAAUAACCAAAGCUUAAAGUUCAAAACUUAAAUGCUUGAAAAAACUCUUUGAAAAACUCAAAUCUGUUUUUCUGUCUUGUUGUUUGUUAUAAAACAUUAACAAACUAUUUAUUGUGUUCAAAUCUUGGUCAAAGCAUUUAAAGCAUAAGCGUAUUCAGUUAUGAAAUCAAUUAAAGCUCUUUUAACAACCAAAACUGUUUUUCUGUUAGGAUUCUAAACAAACAAUCGGUUGAAAUAGCAAAUCAAUCGGCUGUUUGGUUUUGACAGCAAGUCAACCAUCCAAAACAGUUUUCAAACUUUUUCAAAAACACCUAAGUAUAAAACAAUCGGUUGUUUCGACAAAACAACAGGUUGUUUUUCACUUAGUUUGAAAAACACUUUAAUCUUAAAAUAUUUGAAAAUACUUAAGCUUUAGAUUCAACAAAGAGUGGAUUACAAAUAUAAUCUACCCAAGAUCCUAUUCUAAAGCACACCAGCAACAACAAGCACCUCUAGCCUUUCAUCAAACACAAAGGAUUUGGAUUCUUCAAAGCUUGAACACACUUGAUUCAACAAUCUCCCCCUAUUUGAUGAAGACAAAUCCCUGGUUGCUUGUGUUGGAUUUGAUUGAAUAUGAAACAGUUCCUGCAAAAAAAAUUUUAAGCUGUACACAAACUAUGGAAGUAGGUUAGAGCAGUAACACAAAACUUAUGUUUUGCUUAACCCAAUACAGCAGCCAAAACCAACAAAAAUAUAACAAUAUUAUCAGCAGCAAAAGCAGUAGAACAAAAUCACUUAAACAAAAAAAGAGUUUUGCAGAGAAAUAUAAAACAACACAGCAUAAAAUCUCCCCCUAUUUGUCUUCACAAAUAGACUAUAAGAAGAGAUAAACCAUAAAUUGUUCCAGUUAAGACAAAAUUAAAAAAACAGAAGCACUUAAACUGAUACAGGGCCAAAACAAUCAGUUGUUUCGAGCAUUCAACCGGUUGUUUUUCCUUCAUUCAUCCUUGCCAUACUGAAGUUCAAAGAUCUGGUUCUGAACAACUUCAAUCUGUUCAUCCAGGGUCAUAAAACGAGUAUCCAUGCUUUGGAAUCUGUUGUCAAUGCUCUGGAAAUUGGUCCCACAAAGAUCAUGGAGAUUUCUUUGAUUUUCAGCAAAACCACCAAGCCUAUUCACCAUGUAUCUUUCAAAAGAAGACAUAGAAGGCAUCUCAUCUCCUUGAUGUCCUACACUUGUUUCAGCUUCAAAGGUAGUUGCAGGAUGAUCUUCAUUGUGAAUAUCCAUAUCAGCAGCUUGAUCUUCUUCAUCAAAAUCAACAGCUGCAACACUUGAUGAACCACCAUGAUCACCAUAUUUGCUCACCCAUUUUCCAUUUAUUUUUGUGAAUGCCAUCUUGCUUAGAGAGCCAUUGUUCAUUUCUUGUGUUGAUUUAACCAACUCAGAGGUCUCAUCUUCAAGAUUCACUUCAAAAUAGAGCAAGAAUUUAGAGAUUAAAACAGCAUAGGGAUAGUGGUAGUCACUUAACCUCAUGGAUUUUUGCAUAUGUUCUUUGAUGAUAUAAAUCCAGUUGAUCUUGAUCUUCUUCAUGAUGUAGUAGAUGUAUACAAGGUCUUCUUCUGUUAAGACAUAAUGGUUGCUCCCUCUUGGAGUUAGAAUCCAAGUAACAAUAAGAGCAAACACCCUUUCAUCCAACUUCAAGCCUCCAACAGAACAAGAUCUCACUUGGGCUUGUUGAUUCUUCAAGCAACUCUUGUAGUAUUGGACUUUGUUGAAAUCCUCCACUACUCCAAGAUUUCCCUUGUUGAUCCUUAGACCAACAUACUUUAAACCCGUUACUGCAGCCCACACAUCAUGGGUAAGGUUGGUGUGGAAUACCCAAAUUAAAUCAAGGUAUAUGUUUCCCUUCAUCUCCAAGAAUCCUCUCAACAACUGAUCUUUUAGAAGCUUUCUCACAUUGUCAAGCUUUUGACUUUUCAGCCAAUCAAAGGAGACAACUUUUGGGUUGUUGGUCACCUUUGUGCUUGUUUCAAAACGAUAUCUCUCAAUGAGCUCAUUAUCCCCUGAAAACCAGCCCUCAAGUCUCCCUUCAGACCUCACAGCUCUUGUUUUAAUCCUCUUUGAUGUAGGAGGAGUGGACUCCAUGAUAUCAGAAAAAGAGGCAAAAAGGUCUCACACAAAGAGAGCAAGAGAUGGCUCAAUUGAUUGUUCUUGUGAGAGAGAACAACUGCACCAGAAUUUAAAGAGAUACUGAACCUUACUGCAUUCAAUUGAUGUGAGUGGGUUUUAGUCUUCAAAGAGAAAAUACUUGACCAAGACCUGCACAGAAAACGUCAGAAAAAGCAGAAAACCACAUGGUCAUCACAUGUGAUCUUUGACUAGUCAUAAAAGCUCUUGAAUUUUCAAAAUUUUGGAAUAUAUUCCUUUUUGACAUGUUGUAACUUCCUCGAGAACAUAAUCAGGCUUUCAACACAGCUUUAUUGACUCAGGAUCCUUUCAUAAUUGAGAUCUGCCACAAACAGAAUUCAAAAAGAAAUUAAAUCCAUUCUUUCACAGUGUUGCUAGAGAGGAAACAACCGGUUGUUUCGAGGAAACAAUCAACUGUUUUUCUACAACAUGUUGGCAGAUUGUGAUUUUCAACCAUAUGUUUAGAAAGGUUCAAGACAAAAGUGAAUGCUCAUAUUUAAAACAAAAUUAAACAUGUAAUAGUCAUUAAAAUCAAACACAGAAGUAAGGAAGGUCUUAUCCUUUUGUAAGUUUCUUCAAUGAGUCUUUUGUUUGUGAUCAAGAAGCCUCUUUUGACUUUUGAAAAGACUUGAACUGGUACACAUCACUAUUUCAGUUCCAGUUUUAAUCUUUUCCCUUCAAGAACUUGAUCAAAUGACUCAGAGCCUCAUUUUCUUCUAGAUUUCCUGCAUAAAAAGGAAUUCAAGCAGGAAGGUUUGGUCCCCUUACAAAUGUGGGUCCAUUUGAUUUGUUUUUAUCAUUUGAAACCUCACAACCUUUGGGAAUCCAUUUCAUAAAACCUCUGGGAACAGAAUAUUUCCUUAUUUUGCAGAAUAUGACAAAAUGGCAUCUCUUCAUGCAAUAAAAGCAUGUAAUAACUGGUUGUUUUGACUUAACAAUCAGUUGUUUUACUGGCAGUUUUGAAAAUUUCUUUGAAAAAUUAUCUUGCUUGUUCUGUGGAUUAAAACCUAAUCCAACUCUUCAAAAACACAAUUUUGAGAUGCCAAGACAUUCUCGAAGUUGGAUUUUCCUACUGAAAGCUUAGCCACAGUACUAACAAGAUAAUGUACUUUCUUUUCAAGAUUUUCACAAUUUUCAUAAAUGAAAGUGUCACACUUGCAAGCAGAGUUUUUGCAAUGAUUUUCUAGUUUUUCAAAAUCACUUUUUGAUUUUUCCAGCUCUUCUUCAAGUGCCUUAACCCUCUUUUCAAGCUAGUUGUUAAGCCCUUUCAAAUGGUUGUUUGAGAGUACCAAUCGGUUAGCUUCUUUAUGUGUUUCUUGAAAAGCUUCAAGCAAUUUACUAUAAUUUUCAGCAUUUAGGGAAGCACAUGAACUUACAUCACUUGAGCUACAUGACUCAUGAUCUCCUUCUACAAUCAAGCAUAUAUUUGCUUUUUCUUCUUCACUUGAUGAUGAGCUUGAUGAGGAGACUUCAUUCUCAUCCCAAGAUAUGUAUGCUCUUCUUGACUUUCCCUUUCUCUCCUCGUGGCUUGAUUUCUUUUCAUUGCUUUCUUUGUUUGGGCAAUCUGCUUUAAUGUGCUCUUGUUCACCAUAACCAAAGCAAGUAUAGUUGUUAGAAUUGAAAUCACUAGUUUUCUUGUUGCCAUACCUUUCUUUGUUGGCUUCUUUGUUACGAUUUCUCUUCAAAAAUCUACUAAACUUCUUCGACAACGAACUAAGGUCUUCUUCUUCACUUUCAUCACUUGAUUCUUGCUUACUUUUCUGCUUGGCAGCUUUCAAGGCAAUGCUUCUAACAUGCUUGUCUUCACUUUCUUGAACAUUGAGUCUAUUCAUUUCUAACUCAUGUUCUCUAAGCUUACCAAAUAAAGAAGUCGUUGUCAAUGAUGUCAAAUCUUUUGAUUCAGAAAUUGUUGUCACCUUUGGUUGCCAUGAUCUAUCAAGACACUUGAGGAUCUUGAUGUUUAACUCUUCUUUAUCAAAGGUUUUCCCAAGGCUCAUAAGGUGGUUGAUGAUGUGGGUGAACCUUUGUUGUACUUCAGUGAUUGACUCACCUUUAAGCAUUCUAAACAUUUGAUAUUCCUGAAUUAGAAUAUGCUUUCUAGCUCUCUUCACAUCAUUGGUUCCUUCAUAAGUAACCUCCAAAGUGUCCCACAUCUCCUUGGCCUAAGAGCAUUGAGAAAUCAUGAAAAAUUCAUCCGAAUUCAAGGCAGAUGUUAUGAUGUUCUUAGCAACACAAUCAAAUUUGGCCUUCUUGUUUUCAGAAUCAGUCCAUUGAGACCAAGUUUUUUCAAUGGAAGAUCCAUCUUUUUCAAAUUUUGGAAUAAAGGGGCCAUUUUCAAUUGCAUCCCAAAUUCCCUUGUCAAGAGAUUCAACAAAGAUUUUCAUUGUAACUUUCCAGAAUUGGUAAUUCAAACCACAGAAGAGAGGUGGUCUCUUUAUUGAUGCACCAUCUCCAGAAGGAAGUUUAUCAGCCAUUAAAAAAUAAUUUUAGGAUCAAACUUGAGUAUUUUUCAAGUACCAAGCUCUGAUACCAAUUGUUAGAAUGUUUGGUUUUAAACUAAAGAGGGGGUGAAUGGUUUAAAGAAGGUUUUCACAAACUAUUUUGGAUAGAAUGAAAAUACUUCGUAAGAAACCAGAUUUAGGAAUUCAGUUUGCCAAGAACAAAGCUCAAAACCAAAAAUCAACAGAAAAAUAAUCGGUUGUUUCGCAGAAACAAUCUGUUGUUUAUACCAGCAUAUAACAACAACUGAAAUUAAAGAGUUUAAGGAAGAGAGAAAUGCACAAACAGUUUAUACUGGUUCACUCUUAACCCAAGAACUACAUCCAAUUUCCCAGAAACCACUAGGGAAUCCACUAGGUAAUCAAAUCCAGAUUAGAUACACACACCACCAAACCUUGAUUCCCUCAAGACACACACUUCCUUUGUCUCAGCACAUACACCACCAAGAAUGUUGAUCUUGACAACCUCAAGAGCACACAACCCUUCUUGGCUUUACAACACUAGAAUGUUCACAAAUUACAGAACGAAUUACACUGUUACAAAAUCAAUUGAAAUCAAUACAGAGUAAUCCUAUUCCACUUCUCUCUUGAAUAACCAAAGCUUAAAGUUCAAAACUCAAAUGCUUGAAAAAACUCUUUGAAAAACUUAAAUCUAUUUUUUUGUCUUGUUGUUUGUUAUAAAACAUUAAUAAACUAUUUAUUGUAUUCAAAUCUUGGUCAAAGCAUUUAAAGCAGGAGCGUAUUCAGUUAUGAAAUCAAUUAAAGCUCUUAUAACAACCAAAACUGUUUUUCUGUUAGGAUUCCAAACAAACAAUCGGUUGAAAUAGCAAAUCAAUCGGUUGUUUGGUUUUGAUAGCAAGUUAACCAUCCAAAAAAGUUUUCAAACUUUUUCAAAAACACCUAAGUAUAAAACAAUCGGUUGUUUCGACAAAACAACAUGUUGUUUUUCACUUAGUUUGAAAAACACUUUAAUCUUAAAAGGUUUGAAAAUACUUAAGCUUUAGAUUCAACAAAGAGUGGAUUACAAAUAUAAUCUACCCCAGAUCCUAUUCUAAAGCACACCAGCAACAACAAGCACCUCCAGCCUUUCAUCAAAGACAAAGGAUUUGGAUUCUUCAAUGCUUGAACACACUUGAUUCAACAAUGGGCACUUCUCUCCAGCACGCCUGCACCUUUGCCACUGUCGCGUCUUCACCCGUUCUUUCCCAUCUUGGGGUUUUGGUCCCUCUCACCGUCGUUCAACCGUCUCCCACCCCACCUUUGUAAGGGUAAAGCGGUGGUAAUUGAGUCAGACGAGGAUUCCUCCGAGGGGCCAAUCUGCAAGAAACCCAAGCCUACGCCGGUGAUGGUUUCACAUUCUUCUUCUUCCGAUCGCUCUGUUUCGCCUCGGGGUCGCACGACCGAUGUUUCUCUGCUCCCUGAUCUUGGUGGGACUGGUGCUUCUACUCCUCCUGUCCCUGAACUGCCCCUUGUCCUACAGCACGCCAUCAAAGGCUUUCAGCAAAGGGUGCCUGCGGAUCAGGAUGAAGCCACGGCGAGGGAGAGACUAGGCUUCAACUUCGGGGCGGUUCUCGCCGAAUUCAUCGCUCGUUUGCUGCCCGUGAGGCUACUCUAAGGGAGGAGGUGGUCCAUCUCUCGAAACUGCUCCAUGCCAAGCGCCAAGAGGUUACUAUAUUGGAAGCAAGAGUUUUGUCCCAGCGGGUUAGGGUCUUAAAGCUGGAAGAGGCCGAUGAGGAGUCUAAGUCCAAAAUCAUGGGGCUUGAACAAAGGUCCGUCAGUCGUGAGGUGCAGCUGGGUCGAGCGGAGGCUGAGCUUCAUCAACCAGCUAAGAGGUUCGAAGAAGCGGAGGGUGAGCUGAUCGGUUAUGUCCUCGACGCCUAUGAUGAGGGAUUCAGAGACUCUCUUGCCCAAGUUGUUUGUGUGCACUCUAGAAUGGAUAUUACGCCCUUCACUGUAUCGAACCUUGUUGAAAACGGGCAGAUCGUUCCCAGGGUCCUUCCUUGAUUUGUAUUUGGCUGAUGCAUAAACUCUUUCAUCUGUCCGCAACUUUUACUUUCCCGAACUCAUAUAUAUUUUUAUUUCUACAUUACGAACUGCUUUUUUGACUCUCAUAACUGCUCUGUCAUGGUGUCUGGCGCCGAGACAUUUCUUCUAGCGUUCUGUUGCAUGUUCCCCUUAUCGUGAGGAGGGGUUUUAACUGUGAAUUGGGUCGUUCCUCCUUGGCGUUAUUCGCAAGGGGAACAAACUCUCAACUGACCUCGACUUCACUCAAAGACGUGGAGGAUUUAUCUGGCAAAUUAUUUCUUUUCACCUUGGUGCGAUCACUCACGAGGGGAGGUGUUCUCUUACUAACCUACCUCUAUGCUCACAAGGCUUCUAGCGCAUGGGAAAUUAACUCUUAACUGACCUCGGCUUCGCUCAAAGGCGAGGAGGAUUUAAUUGAUGACUAUUAACUAACCUCAGCUUUGCUCGAGGACGAGGAGGAUUUAUCUAUUAAUUGACCUCAGCUUCGCUCGAGGGCGAGGAGGAUUUAACUUGAACUAUUAACUGACCUCAGCUUCGCUCGAGGACGAGGAGGAUUUAACUUGAACUAUUAACUGAUCUCAGCUUCGCUCGAGGGCGAGGAGGAUUUAACUAAACUUUUAACUGACCUCAGCUUCGCUCGAGGGCGAGGAGGAUUUAUUUAGCGAACUAUUUCGUUCAACCUUGGCGUUUUCACUCGAGAGGGGAGGCGUUCUCUUACGAACCUACCUUGCCGCUCAUGAGGCUUCUAACGCAAGGAAAACAAAUUCUUAAUUGACCUCAGCUUCACUCGAGGGCGAGGAGGAUUUAUCUGGCGAACUAUUUCGUUCAACCUUGGCGCUCUCACUCGAGAGGGGAGGUGUUCUCUUACGAACCUACCUCUCAGCCUACGAGACUUCUAACGAAAGGAAAACAAGUUCUUAACUGAAUUGUACAUAACUCGAGAAAGUAUUUCAAUCGUAACUUAUCUGGGGACCUCAUUAAAAAACCCUUAUAAGGGAAAAAGAGUGUCCUUUAAUACCAUAUACAAUAUUCUUGCUUAACUGAAAUAAGACUUCAAGUCAGCUGCAUUCCAUGUGUACGGAACCGAGCCCUGCUUCAGCGCUUCUAACCUGCGUGCUUCGUCCCAAGGUUCUCCGUUCUUCUGGGAGGAUUGGUCCACACGGGAGAGACCGAUCGUGAAACCAACAGGGCUGCCUUCCUUGGUACCUGGUGUUUCUUUCCAGGCCCUUAGCAUACUCUACUUCCCCUAUGUGUAGGACCUUGCAACUGACCCUGUCUUUGUUCGAGGGCCGAACCAAUCGCCUAGUCGAUCAUCACUGGGUACCCCGGUUCUAGACUCUACGGUCUUCUCAACCGGGGUUUGUGUCGUUUGGCCGGGGAUGUUGCUUAGGUUGGAGACUCUCUCUCCAAUCUCUCUUUCCCUAGAGUUGCCAAACGGAUCAGAUUGGUUCCGUGAGCGAUUUCUGCUACGGUCCCGUCGGGUUUGGAGCGACUGACCUUGGGCAAGGGGACCCUCUCAGUAUUCGGUGGUCCAUUAGUGACCAUGGAUACCCGUCGCCUUGUUUUGAGGUUAUUCUCGUAGCAUCGCUUGGCCUCCUUCUGAUUUGAUUUUAUGGUAAUCACCUUUCCCGCCAGGUCUGGUAACUUUAUCUUCAUGUGCCUUGUCAUGGCACCGCCCCUAACCUGUUCAACGUUGGUCUACCCAACAACAUAUUAUAAGUAGAGGAGGCGUUGACGACAAGGUACCUGAUGCUCUCCUACGUGACGCGGUGCCAUCCGUGAAGGUGGUCCUCAACUCCAAGUAUCCCCGCACCUCUACCUCGUCUCCUGCAAAACCGUAGAGACAGCCACCAUAGGGCCGUAGCAUGUCGGGGGAUAGCGGUAGUUUGUUGAAAGUCGUCCAGAACAUUACAUCUGUCGAGCUUCCUUGAUCUACCAGCACACGGUGCACUUUCCUUCCUGCAGUUACUGUUGAGAUUACCACUGGAUCGUUGUCACGGGGGACAACGUCCUCCAGGUCGGCUUGGUAAAGACCAGGUCGACGUCAAAGGCGUCGUCGUUUCUCUGUGCUUCUACCGACAUCACCGUUCGCAUGUACCUCCUUCGCUGAGAAGCGGUACAACCUCCACCCGAGAACCCUCCUGCACUGGUGUGGCCCUCACCAUGUAGGGGACUUCGUGCCCCGGGCCACCCCUAUUGUCGCCACGUCCCCAGUCCCCUAUUUUUCUUGCAGAUAAUCUCUUAGGAGACCGUUCUUCACAAGCUCGUCUAGCUGGUGUCCCAGCGCUAAGCAAUUGCGUAUGGGGUGGUCGUAUGCUUGGUGGAACUCACACCAGGCAUUCUUGUUGGGCUUGAGCCUCUUGUCGGUCUUGGGAGGCACCUUCAGUCUCUCCGUUAUGUUUGGGAUAGUGAUGAGGUCUUUCAGUUCUACUAUGAAGUCAUGCCUUGGCAGCACGUUAUCUCUCCCGCGCCCCCUCGCAUUAGACUUCUGGUAGGGUUGUUGCUUCGCAGGGGACUUCACCUCUGUCGUCGCCUCGUGCACCCUUAGGGUUUGAGGACGACUUGCAUGUGCGCUUUUCACUAACUUCUUCCUCCGCCGCAAUAUAGGCCACCACGCGGCGCCUUAUAUCGGCGAAGGUCUUGAGGUGGUUACGGAUGAGUGACUCGUUGAAGGUGUUAGAAUAUAUGGCCUUAAACGAGAAGGGGGUGAAUUGUUUAAGAAAGAUUUUCAUAAACUUUUAAGCUUAGAAUGAAAAUACUUCAAGAAAACCUUGAUUAAGAAAUCAGUUUUUCAAAACAUAAAGCAAAAGCACAAUACUGGAAAAACAAUCGGUUGUUUUACCGAAACAAUCGGUUGUUUAUACGAAUUAUCAAAUAACAAAACUGAAUUUAAAGAGAUAGGGAUAAAGAGAUUGUAUACAGUUUUUUAUACUGGUUCACUCCAAACCCAGAGCUACAUCCAGUCUUCUCAGAAACCCUGAGGAAAUCCACUAAGCAAUCACACCUUGAUCACUUACACAACAACCAAGAGAAUGACCUUGAACACCUCAAGACACACACUCUUCUUGGCCAACACACCAACACUAAGAUUGUUGAUCUUGAUCCCCUCAAGAACACACAGCCAAUCUUAGCAAACACAGAAAUGAAACUUGUUUAACAGAGUACAAGGAUUACACUUGUUACAGAAGAUAAUCUGAAAUCAAUACAAGCAGAAUCCUAUUCCAUACACUUUGAUCAAUCACACACUCUUAGCAAUCUCAUCUCUUUGAAAAACUCAAAAACUCUUAGCAAAAACUUGUCAAAGAUUAAUUCUCAAAUCUGUGUUUCUAAAUAUAUUCAAAGAUGUAGAUUGUUAUCAAAUCUUAACAAACUCUUAAAUUGCAUUAAAAGAUUGGUCAAAGCAUUUAAUGACUGAAGCGUAAGCAGUUAAAUCAUUUAAAGCUCAGUCAAAGAUAAAACAGUUUUUCUGUUAUGGUGCCAAAACAAACAAUCGGUUGUUUCCUCGAAUCAAUCGGUUGUUUUGGUNNNNNNNNNNNNNNNNNNNNNNNNNNNNNNNNNNNNNNNNNNNNNNNNNNNNNNNNNNNNNNNNNNNNNNNNNNNNNNNNNNNNNNNNNNNNNNNNNNNNAAAACACCUAAUAAUAAACAAUCAGUUGUUUCGAUAAAACAAUCGGUUGUUUUAACUUAGUUUGAAAACAUUUUACUUUCACAAAGAUUGAGAUGCUUAUGCAUUAGAUUUAAUCAAAGGGUGGAUUACAACAUCCAAACUACCCCAGAACUAGACUAAACCAGCACAACAACAUCAAGCACUGCAGAGGCUUCAACAUCCUUCAAAGGAUUUGGAUUCUUCAAAACUUGAACACCACUUGGUUCAACAAAAGGAUCCUGACACGAUGCCCUUCCUAAACGCGUGCAACAUCAUCUUUUCUUUUGUGAGGUUCAACCUCAUCACUUGCGCUCCAAAACGGUGGAGGAACUCCUUUAAAGACUCUCCCUGAUAUUGUCUUACAUCAAAGAGGUCACAGGAGACUGACGAGGGGGCUCGAUUUGCGAGGUAUUGUGCUUUGAACAACUUUGUGAGUUGCGGGAACGACGUUACAUGGCCAUCAGGGAGGCUAAUGAACCAGUCCAUCGUUGUUCCUGCCAAAGUCACCUUGGGCCCUACGAGCGUGGUUGGUAUCACUGCAUCCACGAUCUCAAGUGAGAACGGUGUUGGGAACUCUCUGGGUGGCGUCACAGGCUCUUGAUCUGCGCCCUCACGCUCAGCGACGUGGGUUUGCAGGUCUCUGCGCAGUUCCUCGUUUAAACAGAGCAGUUCUUCGCUCGUAGCUUGCGACGCUACCAAGUCAACUUGGAUGCGUUCUUGGUUUGCUCUCGACGCAACCAUCUCUUCCUGAAGGGCUCGCAUCGUCUCCAUAACUUGUUGUAGGGUGAGGGCCUCACCCCCAUUUGGUGCAACAGAUCCUUGCCUCGUACCUCUCAUCUCUUGGAUCUUCCUGGUUCUUGCUGGUGGGACAGUGUUUUGUAUCGUGCCCCACGGUGGGCGCCAAAUGUUCCUGUUGGUUGACUCGAAACGCCUUUGUACGCCUACGUCACUCUUACGUCCAGAGUCCUUGUGUUCACCUGUGCCUUUCUUGUGAUGAACACCUGAAACACAAAAACAAAGGGCGCUCCUGUGGCUGUUUUCACUCCAACGCUCAAGUCAGUACUAAGGCUAGGAAACACCGAAACUGUAUAAUCUUGCUACUGUGUGUGUGUUUUACGGCGCAAGAGAAUCCUCUCUUGUCAAGGCUGUUUACUUACUAUUUAUAGACUGAAACUACGGUUUCCUGAUUACCUAAAAUGGGCCUUUCUGAUGGGCGGGCCCAACAUUGUUGUUACCUUACUCUCAGGGUAAGCUAGCGCGUGGGGUCCCUAACUGGAGUGCAACCUCUGACGGGAUGACCACCAGGGUGCCACCUCGUGCACCUGAUCUCUGGGGUCAUCCGUCUCUAGGAGUGCCCUAACUGUUCACGUGUCAUGCAUGCAGCUCACCCCUGAACGUGACCCUUGCAGGCCAUAUCUUUCCAGUGGCUCUAUACUUUGUGUCACGCCUGAACGCGUCGUCCACUCUACACGCAUGGGCACUCGUGAUCUAGGCUUCUCCCUUACUGAUAACUGGUGUGUGAUAUGAGAUCCACCUUUCGUGGCCCAUCUCUACCAUUUGGGUUUCCGAUGUCCAACCUCUCCACAUUGUUUAGUGGCAAGUCGGUACAUCCUGAUGACCGAUGUCUGACCACUCUUGGCUCCUUGGCGCACGUGCUUUGCAGGGUACUGGCCCGUGCUGCUUGUGGGACCCGCUUACGUGGCACCAACAUUACUAGUGGUCAGUCAACACUCGAGGACCGGUCUGUACAAUUUCAUUUUUUGUUUUUGUCUUUGUGGUCAUUCACUCUCUUUAAGAGCAUUUUACUCAUAUUUAUUUCGUAGGUAGUGUCCCCAAUGGCGACAAUUUACUCACAUUUGUUUUCUCAUGUAGUGUCCCUAAUGGUGACGCAAAGUUUAAUUAUUGUUGGAGAUCCCACAUCGACUAGAGAUUAAAACAUUUCAUAGUGGGUGCAAACCUCACCUUAUAAGUCAGUUUUAUGAGGUUGAGUUAGGCUUAAAAUCCACUUCUUAAUAUGAUAUCAGAGCCAUUUUGAGUCUAUCCUAACAAUUGUUUGUCGAGCUUAUCAAAACACUCACAAUCGAGCCGUUAUCGGACCACCCAUAAUAUAUAGUCUCACGCACGAGUUAGUAGCCUCGACGUGAGGCAGUGUGUUGGAGAUCUCAUAUCGACUAAAGAUUAUAACAUUUUAUAGUACAAGUUUCCUAAAGAUGACCAUUAGAACUCCUAAAAACUCUCUAUUCAUGGAGUGCCAUGUGGCGUCUAUAAAUCCUCUCCAUUGGUGGAUUGCCAUGUGGCAAUCCAUGUCUUGAAGGAACUUUCCAUUAGCAUGAAGACAAGUGGCAUAAAAAGAGGAAGAAGCAUAGAAAAGUUUGUGUUUUGGAAGAACUUGAAUGGUGACCUUUGAAGAAAGUUUGUGUUUUAGAAUUUGAUCAAUGUUCUAAAUUCAAGAACUCACCAAAACUAAGCACCAACCAAGACUCAUAUUGAAGUCCAUGUAUUGUCAAAUUGAAUCAAAACAAAAGGAAAGAAGAACAAGAAUUAAAACUGGCAGAAUUUAAAUGAUAGCUACUGAACCAAAACAGAAUUAAGAACACAAUGCUGGAAACACAAAAAUAAACGGUAGAAAAAGAAGUAAACUCUAGGAAUCAAAACUACCGAAUGGAAAAUUGAAGAAAAGGGAAGAAGAACACUUAUAGAAUAAGAUGCUUGCUGGAUUUUGAGAAUUGGAAGAAGCCAUUCACGCCACUUGGAACCUUGAACCAAGAUAAGUGAUGGAGUGCCACCACUUGAAGCUCGCCAUAGCUCACAAGAUAAGGCAAAGAAGAGGAAGACUCAAAACUCACAAAUUCUCUCCAAAAUUGAGUAUAGUCUCUCUACUAUAAAAUUCCAAUCUGAAUUGUACAAGCUNNNNNNNNNNNNNNNNNNNNNNNNNNNNNNNNNNNNNNNNNNNNNNNNNNNNNNNNNNNNNNNNNNNNNNNNNNNNNNNNNNNNNNNNNNNNNNNNNNNNACAUGGGAGGUGUGACCUUUUUCUACUAUGACACCUCCUAAAACUACACCUACACCCCCCUACUAAGUCACAUGGACAAAGUGACUCUCUCUAAUACAUUCACACCUAUUUAUUUAAUAUCCACACCUCCUACAAGAGUCAUUCAAAUGAUGCUCUUUUAUUUAAUGCUUGGCCUUGCCCCUCAUUGUUUGGACUUGGGCUUCUUGGGCUUGGGCCUUCUUGGGCUUAGGCUUGGGCCUCAUCUCUUGCAAAGAUUAAUAAGAAGAACUUUAAAUGCUUUGGCCCUUGUCCAUUUUGUCUAUUGAUAACAUCUUUUUGAUUCUCAUCACGCCAUGUAGGAUGUGAUGUGGGCGUUUCCUCUUUGCCUUUUAAGGCCCAAAGUUCUAGACUAAAUUUGAUGGAAACCGUCCAGCCUCACACAACCAUAUAAUAAGGAGGAUGAAGACCUAGAGGUUGUUUAUUGAUUUAAUUGUAAAUAUAGGUCUAAUUGGGCUUUUGUUUACUUUUGUAGGCCCAAUCAAGAGGACAACUCUAGGGUGAAGGAAUGUACAAACAUAUCCAAGAAGACCUCUAACUCAUUAAAACAUAAACUAGAGCUUUGGCCAGAAGAACACAAGAAGAUUGAGUUUCUGCUGACUAGUCAACAUUAUUUGUGGGCCAAGCUUUAGCUUAAAUAAAUUGUAUAAAGUUGUUUAGGAUUUCAUGGGCCAUGUAUUGGGCAUAGUAGUAUAAAAUAAUUGGGCCAAAUAUUUGGGUCAAGUAGCAUAGGUUUUUGGACUUGUAUUUGGGCCAAUAGUCAAAUAUGACUAAUUAGGGUUAAAAGUGACUAGUUAGGGUAACAAUUGGGCUUCUUUGAGCCCAAUGUAACCCUAAAAUGUCUAGGGUAAAUUGGAGAACGAAAAUCACCUUGGCAUGGAGCACAUGGACGUCCACAUGGCAACAUAGGAGUGGAGAGGAUUUAGCAUGGAAGAUGUGAGCUAAACAUGGAAAGCAUGACUCCACAUGACACCUUCUCAUUGGAGAGUUUUAUUUUGAAUUUCAAAUUAUGGCUCCAAAAUGUUCAGCCCUCUCUCCUAUAAAUUGAGGUGCUUGGCUAUCAUUUUGUAAGAUUAAUCAAUGAGGGAAUUGCUACCAAAUUUGUGCCAAUUGCACUCUUGUCUCCUACCCUCCCUAGGAUAGACGUUUGAUCUUCAAUUUUCCACUAGACCAAGUGAUUAGGCCUCGCCUAUCACUCUCCAUACCUAUCCUUCACCUUCAAGGAAUCCACAAGCUCUAAGUGAGCUCCUUGUCCCCUACAAUCCAUGAAACUUCCGCACCUCUCCACCAAGAAAAUUCAAUCAGAAUGAAGACAUACUCCGUCAAAAUUGGUCCAGAAUACAAGGUCUAAAAUCCUAUUUCUUCUAAGACUCAAAAAUACGAAGAUUAGAAUAAAAUUCUAACUACUCUUUACAAUUUUUAUAAGGCUAAAGAAGGAGAAAUCAUUAGAAAAUAUCUUCUUAAUCAUUAUUUUCUCUCUCCUUAGCCUGAAUGUUUUGGUGGCUGGGACGGUCCUCCAUCACUUUCAUUUGGCUUCUUCUUUGGUGGAAAAUAUUAUAUCCAUAUCUGGUUAAGCUCUAGACAUAGAUUUUUCUUUAAGCACAUCCUCAACAAGGUUUUCUAGUGUAGAUAAAAUAUUAUCAAUAUUUGGUUCAGCUCCAGACAAAGACUUUUCUAUUCUUUCUUGCUCUUUUUUCUUUCUAUUCUUUCUUUCUAAUAAGAGCUUGCAAUUUUUCUUUAAACUUUUUUUCUCUUCUAAAAUAUUCCUUUUCUCCAUCUACAAACUUUCGUCCUACUUUAACAAGCUCUUUCAUUUCUUCUCUAAGCUUUUUUUUUUUACAAAUGAAGGUGGAACAAAUUUUCUUCUCAUACCCGCCUUUAAUUCAUUCCAAUAUUGUACUUUUGAUUUUGUGCCAAUUCUAACAUCUGCCUUUGUGUCCACCCAAACCUAACAUGUUCUUGAAAACAUAUGGUAGCCGUGAAAAAUCUUCUAAAUUCAUCCACUUGGUAUUUUUUAAAAAUUUGAUCAAGCUUUGUCUCCCAUUGUAGAUAUGCCUUAACAUUUUUAUUUCCAUCAAAAUAGGAAAUGUAUACUUCAGGCUCUAUAGAAUAAUAUAAAAUUCUAGGCUCAAAACACACCCCUUUUUUUUCUCUGAUACACGGAGUCAUAACUAUAUUUCCUUUUAAUAAUACUUUUACGAGGUUAGCUAAGAGUGGAUAUGAGUUGAAAGAAUAGUCGUUUGAACUUCACAAUAGUAGUCUGCUAGUGGAACUUGACUAAUUGGUAAAUCAUUGAACGUAGUUUGCAUUAUCAGACGAACCAAUAUGAAAAAUUGAGUAAAAUUUCCUUCCCUAAUCACAAAAUCAUUUACAACAAUCAACAUAAAAUUUUGUUAUCAAAUCCGUACAUUUUAGGUUCAAAGUUUGACACUUUCAGUUACCCACCUUUCAAUAAU
rnacentral:lncRNA from 1 species